GUACAUCAAUGUCUCCCCACUAAUUAGGCGGACGACAGGACUAGUGUCGCACAACGCCAAUACCCUAUAGAAUGCAUAGCCAAAAAAGUAGACUAUAUGUACCGAUGAAAGUCAGAAAGGUUAUAAGCCCGACUGGGGCAAAGCAAGGGUUGUAGGCAAUGCGACAUCAGUUGGCAUAUAACAAAGGAUCAGUAAAAGCCAAUGACGGAGCUUACAAGUUAUUUAUACCUACCGUCUUUCGCUUCUUCUUGAAGCCUAUUUCGAGACCAUUCGACUCUAAGGAGUUAGAUGAGGGAAGACAAGAACAAUCUCGCUCAACAGAAUGCGAGUAUCCAGAACCUGAAAAGGCCACACUGGUAGUUGUAGAGCUCAGGAUGUCAGCUGGGACUUUCCCUUCCUGUCUAAAAACAGCGAGAAUCAAGCCAUGAAUGUUCUAUGGUCAUACUAUGAUGAAAGAAGAUACUAUUUGUUGUGGAAUGAAGUCAUGGUGAAUGAAUGAGAGAGCUUGAAAAAAGCAUUAACGUCCCUAAGCUUAUGAAUGAAUGUGAAGCUGCUUCUUCAGAUAUAUUAUGACGUGUGCCGCUGUGAUCGUGGUGUAGGAGGUUUUUAUCCCACUUUGUGAAAGAAUCGAUAGCUACUAAGAUGUAUUUAUGUCCAAUUGGCUGCCUUCGGGUUAACCUUCCUAUGAUAUCUAGGCAAUAUACUGCAAAGGGCCAUGGUGUGGUUUGGUUAUGAAGCUCCGUCGGCGACGCGUAGAUCAAAUUCGCAUGCACUAGGCAUUUGUGGCAUCUCUGAAGAAAAUGGAUGCAAUCCCUCUCCAUCGUAAAAGAGUAAUAUCCUAGGCGAAGUCUUUUUUUGGCAAGCCUGUGCCCAUUCAUGUGUGGACCACAGACUCCUUCAUGCACCUGGAUUAUCAUCUCUUUGGCCUCCCUUUCAUCUAGACAUUUCAACAGAAUGUUGUUGGUUUACUUUUUUAUACAACCUAUCCCCACAGAUUACGGACUACAUGGCUAGUUUCUGAAUGGUCUGCCGAUCUCUCGGUCUAGCGUCGGGAGUGGUUGCUCUCGUACCUAUAGGUACAGACUACAGCGGCAGAUUCAAGCGCAUGAGUUCAGAGGGAUCAGUUGAACGUCUAUAGAUCGUGAUUUGAAUAUGAAGUGGAUUCCAGGGACAGCUGCUUCUAUAAACACAAGAAACGAUCUUGUGGAUUAUCAAAACGGAUUGAUAACUUGCCAGUACACGCUGAGCCUCCUCAAUGAAAUGAGGUACCUCAUUGAGGAUUACGGUAAUCGUGGUGCCGCCCAGGGGCGAUAGGGGACCAAUGCGCGGUCUAUGUGCCUAAAGAUUGAAGAAAGGCCUUUACCACUGCCUUCCGAAUGAGCCAUUCACCACGGAGCUUGGGAAACUUCAGAAAGGGCUGGCAAGAAGCUAGCAAGCUCAACAUCCGGCUGCAGAAAGACACAUCAGUUUGAUAAAGCUCAAACUCUGCAAUGAUGCGGAUGUCUAGACCAACAAGUAAGAGAGCUACUUCAUAUUAAGACAAUCAUAUAGCUCAAGAAAGUGAGUUGUUUAAAAAAAAAGUACCGUAUCAAAAUAGUCUGCCGUACUCGCCAAUCAAACUGGCCCCCUUGAAGAGCUUAUCAGUCUGCUUAUGUUUUCGGCUAUUUAAGAAUGACUUAAUUUGUCAAUGUACUUAUUGAAGACUCUGUGUGCCCCCAGGGUAAGUAUGCUGUCCCAGUUGGCCCCGACUGCGAUCAUCUUCGACGUCUCCUUCGUGUCCGUGCCGAGGUUCAGUUGCACUAUCUCCGGUUCUUGGUAAUGCCAUCUGUCCUUUUGCGCCUCAUACGCCGGCUCCAAUAAUUGCUUGUCUAAAGACUAGAUGCUGCUAAUGCUGGGGCACGCCUUAAAGUAAAGUGCUCCCCCACAGGUCCACCGUCGUCAACUAUCGAUGACCUGCCUGAAGUGUUCUUCCAGCGCUUAAUAGUCUUUCAAAAAUGUUUUUCGUACACCUGUAGAGCUACUCAUCAAGAAAUGUCUCCCAAGUCGUGUUCCAACCAGAUGACUCCAUCUCUCUCUCUCUUGGACUGUGUCCUGAAUCCUCAGAAUCAGUGUCUGAUGGUCUUCAUCUCCGCUGGAAUUUGAACCUGACGUCUCGGCUUCCUCCUUCGAUCCGUCUUGCAAGUGCAGGGUAACCCUAGGCCGGAUCUCUACUUCAUCGACUGUGUGCUUGCCGCCCAAUCCUUCCCAACUCGGGCCGCCUGUAGCUAAUGUUUUCCCAGUAGCGUCUCGUAAGCACCUUCGUGCUGAGCCGUCAGAGCACAAAAGUGGAUGCUAAACUAAAGGUGCCUCAAUGGGUGCCUUCUGCCUCAAACACUUCUCCAGCGGCUUCACUGGUCGCUGGUCUGCCAUUCUCAGUGUCUAGAACUAUAAACUAUAGUCAGAACAUCGGCUUACCUUACCAAUCGCCUACCGUGUCUCCUCUGUAAGGUCUCUCUGGAUCCCCCGUCUACCAUCGUCCUCUGUAAAGUAAAGUGUUUCAUCUAUCUUUAUCCUCACUUGUACCUCCUUGUCAGGCUUAGCUAGGCAAAGCGGUGCGCCUUCUAAGUAUAAGUAAGGGCGAGGGAGCCGCUUUCUUCUAGGGUCGACUCCCCGGUUAGCUUCUUUGCUCUCUGGCCAGCAGUCGCUCCUGUUCUUCCCUUCGGCAUCUUGUCCCGGGCGGAUUGUACUUCGCCCUCGACAAAUGGUCGGCGUCUUCUACAGGGGGUGGCUGAGCCAUCCUUUUAUUCUCUCUUUUAGUAGCCCCUCCACAGAAACAUUCAUCGUCGCCUUCAUUUCUGUAGGAUUCUCUCGGCUACUUCCUUAGUGGGUAGUGGGAGACCUGAACAACCCACUCCCUCCUUCUCGGAUAGAGAUGCUGGCCGACUCGCUUGGCUCGCCUAUCUCCAUCUCUCGAGCUACUUCCAGCGCUUUCGCCUCUUGGGCGAUUUGCUAUCGGUGUCGCAGCUCUUCUUCUCUUCUCCUUUCUCUCAUUGUUUCUUUCUCUAGAAUUUAGAUUCAAUAUCAAUUUCUAACAAGACCAGCCUUGCCAUUGCUUAUUCGGUGUUCCAGGAGCUCUCUACUGCACAUCGAGACGAGCGGUCUAUCCAGGAGUUUUACACAAUAAUGAGGACCAUUGGCACCAGCUCUCCUCCAUGGGGGAAGAGUUAUGUUCUACAUAUUCUGCCUGUGACUGUGCCAAGAAGCAGCAGAAGGCCCGAGAUCAGCAACGUCUAUUUCAGUUCCUCAUGCACCUUCGCCUAGAGUUUGAGUCCAUCAGAGGCCAGCUCCUGCACAAAUCUCCUCUGCCCACUCUAGAUGUUGCACUUUCAGAGCUUAUAGCUGAAGAGAUUCGUCUGCGAGUCUUGGGCUCCUUUCGUUCUGCUGAGCCAGCUACUUGCUUGUUGCUUCUGGCUCCCGAUCUUCUACCUCUGGGUCCUUUGCUUCUCGUGAUUCUUCUAGCCGUCAUGCAUUCGGCCAGUCUAUGGGGUGCCGCUAUUGUCAUGCCUGGGACCAUAUGCUCAAGGACUAUGCCAAGAAGAAGCAAGCUGAUCUCCGCAGGCAACAAUCCGCCUCUGCAGCAGCUGCUACUUCUUCUGCUGGGUCUAAUACUAUUGAGAUGUUCGAUGAUGUCGCAGCCACUCCAGUCCCUGCAGUUCUUCCUUCAGCACAUGGGCCCUCAGUGUCUUUCUUUGGCACAGCUUAUGCAGAUCCUAAAGGCCUCCAAGCUGGGAGGCUCCACUCCAUCGACUAGACAUGCCACCACAGCCACCACUGCGCUGUCUACCUCGGCUGACCGCACAGGUAUUUCUGGGCCCUCCUGGAUCCUUGACUCCGGUGCCUCUAUUCAUGCCCCAUGCUCACCCUUGCAGAAGCCACUUCAGAUAUUUACUGCAUAUGGAUCUCCACUCUCUGUGUCUCACCACGGAGCCAUUACCACCACUGGCCGGUUUUUUGUUCUCUCUCUUUUACAUAUUCCUAAGUUGUCUAUGAAUUUCUUUUUCUGUUAGCCAGCUUACCGAUCAUGACUGCACUGUCUCAUUUUAUGCUUCUUCUUGCUCCGUGCAGGAUCGUCAUACCAGCGCCCUAAUUGGUCAUGGUUGUAAGCGUGGGGGGCUCAAUUACAUGGACUGUCUCCAUCUGCCUUCUUCUGCUACUGGAUUUGCUUGCGUGGGUGUGUCUUCCUCUUUUUCUUUGGUUGAUCUAUGACAUCGUCCGCUUGGUCAUCUGUCUUGUGAUCGUUUGAGUACUUUAGUUCGUAGUGGUGUCCUAGGUAGUGUCCCUGUGUCGGAGUUGUCUCCAUGUAUGGCCUGUAAACUGGGAAAACAGUUGGCCCUACCUUAUCCCUCUAGUACGACGUCUCUUUCUGCUUCUCUUUUUGAUUUAGUGCACUCUUAUGUCUGGGGUCCUGCCUGAUAGCGGAACCGUUAUGUGACAUGGUCGAAUAUAAGGAAGUCUUGGAUGCUCCCCGUUUGUACUGGGAUGCCAAUUGGGAUUGGUGGAUCAGGAUGUUGCCUGGCAACUUGUUCCUCAUUGCUUUCCCUUCUAGGGAUCUUGCUCGCCGAGCUUUGUCUCAGGAGUUCAUGCAUGUGGGCCGUACUACAGUUCAGCUUCUGGAGUGGUGGCCGGAUUGCGCCACCUUUCCCCUGGGGCAUCCUAACGUCAACGUACGUCGCUUUAGCUAUUAGCUGUUGUGCACUGGGAAAAAAUGCAAGGAAAGAGAAUCAGCUAGAAGAUCGAGGCUGCGCUAAUUGAGGGAAGAGUUCUGUCUUUCGGAAGCGACCCAUUGGCAAGGAAUUUAUGCACAUAAUCCCCUAAAAUAUAACAUUCAUGCACUCCCCGAGGACUCUCGAGUAGCUAAGGAAGGGCAAAAAGGAUUCAGGCAACCAAUUCAAUAAGUAAAGAAAGAAGGCGAAUUGACCAAGCCUAGUCUAAGAGCAGGAUGAAGUAGCAAAGGGGGAACUUCUUUCCCUGGAAGGGAAUGGGGAAUGUAUUACGCCGACUAGAACUAGAAUAGAGGAACUCUUCUAAUAUAGAAUAGAUACAGCGAUGGAGGCCUAAAGACUGCAGCGAAUAGGCCAACAGCUGAGACGGGGAUAGCAGCGCUUAGCAGCGGAUACGCUAACGCCGGAUAAGCAGCCCACUGCCUCCAACAAGGGAUUCUGGGCAUGAAUGUGAAGCCCCUUCCCGGAUACCACCAACUUGGUUCUUGUUAUCUCCUUCCUCCCCAUGCAAUCAGUGACAGACAAUGUCUUAGUUAACUUUCUAUUGAGCCUACUCCUUCUCUUUGCGCAUUCGACUCCUCUGGAAACUAUGGAAGUUCCUUGCCUUAGUCAGAUAUUCAUUCGUCGCGCAUUGCGGAAUCCCGAACUGCCUACUCUAUUACGAAAGAAAGUGCCACACUCUAUUCUCUAGCAGCCCUUUAUGGAAGAGCUGAGUCAAUAGCACCGGAGCCAAGGGAUGCAGAUGAAACUUCUUUGCUCUGAUUCUAUUCUUGAUAACCUGAAACCAGGAAAGAGCCAAGGACCGGGUGAGAAUGGAACUCUCAAGGCUGAUCUUCCUCCCUUCCUUAUUUGAAUCCCGAGAAUCGCUAAUUCAUGCCACUGAGCUGGUAGUAGGGUAGGUGCUUGGGAAGCUUCACAGGUGGAGAGUCCUGUCUUGAAUGCAUUGCUUUCUUUCCCACACCCCCCAAGCCAUCUAAUCCAAUAGCUGCUUAUCUCUCAAAAUGAGUUGCUUGCUUGGAGGGCAGGCCUCUUUUUGUUUCCUACCUCGGAUGCUUCUAAUUCACAUCUUCUUUAUGCCCCAUGAGAGAAAAUGGAUAUGGAAAUAGGCUCAUGAUCGGCCUAUGCUCUUGGGGAAGUGUGUUGAGCAUUCGACUUAUCCUUCUCUUAUCCCCCCGGCAUGAAGGAAUGCCCGAGAAUCCUCCGGUGGCAGGUAUGCCCUUUCCGUUCUGGCCUGGGGGACGCCGAUUCAAGAAAGCACGAAAGCUCAUUCUCUUUCUCUUGCAGGAAGGGCCACUCUAAUCCAAUCUGUGUCCCAAGCAAUUCCAGUCUAUACAAUGGACACGGCAGUUCUCCCAAUAAGCGUUUGUGAUGAGAUUGAUAAAUAGAAUAGAGAUUGAUUUUGGGGAAGCUCAGAGGAGGCUAAAAAGGUUCAUCUAGUGAGGUGGUCUGAGGGAUCCUCAGAGUUGAAGACGUUUUUUUUUUGUAUAAAAAGAAAGCAGCUUCUUUCUUCAUUCUUUCGGGCAUGAAAAGAAGCGAAAUAUGGACUCACUCAGGAAGCACUUCACGAAGCUUCCCUGAAUUGGAUGGAUGAAGAAUCCGAAAAAUCGACAAAAGAUCAGAUUGUUCGACGAUUGGCUGCUUUAGCUUGAGCAAUAGCUAGAUGAAAGAAGACGAAAGACAUAUGGGUUGGUUGCUGCGGAUUCGCAUCUAUGAAAACCUAAAAAGUCCUCUAUUGCGUUCUUGCUGCGAAGAAGCCAUUUGUGCGGACAUCUUUCCCAAGCAAAGUUUCAUCAUGGCGAGUCUCAAAGGCAAAAGAAGUCUAGUUACUUGCUGCUGUCCUCGGCUCUGCUACCAAAGUGGCAGCAUCUAAGAGGCGAGUUCCGUCGUAGCUUCAGAGAACUCGUCUUCAUUCUUCGUCUUUCGCAAAAGCGCCAACAUAGUUAGACUUCGCAAUGGACAGAACAGACUCCGCUGUAUACGACGCCUUGGUUGCUGUUUGAAAAGCACCGAUGACAAUAUAAAUAUCUACAGGACAGAAGCUUUGGGUGCUCCAUGAAAUCCUAUUCGAAGAGUCUCACAAGGACAAGUAGAAGUGAAGAGUCCGAUACGACUGCCAAGACUCGGUCAGAAGGAUGAGCCAUUCGAAGACAAUCGCUAUCUUCCUCAGUGACGUACAUGGACGUAGCCUAUUUGUAGUCGGGUCGGAGACACCGUCGGCAGCUAGGCAUACCUCGGUUCGAGUACGAGUCGCUUUGCUUAGUAGUUCUGUGCCACCAACCAAGUCCCUCUUUUUUUUUCUCUUUGCCACUGCAGCUUGGUGCAUGCAUCGCACAAAUCAACCUACAGGAGGAUAGGUACCUGCCGAGUCUUGGGUCACUCUACGUGAUUAAGUCUCAAUUCUUCCUUUCUCAUCUUUUGCAAUUUCGCCAACGAAGGGAGACUGAGUUGCAAGAAAGAGGUUUUGACUGGCUAGAUAGGAGGUCUGGUCUGUCUUUCGUACAAGCGGAUUCGCAGCUUUCACCAACCGCAACGCAGUUCUCCGCAAUUGGUGCAAAAGCUCUUGGCGUAGAAGGAGGAGCUCCUAGACCUACUGAGGAAAGGGAAUCUUGUAUAGAUAGAUGACCCAUAUUCGCCCAAGAAGAACAAGCCACCAAAGAUCAUAGGUUCAAACAAAAGGAGAUAGCCAGUGAAUCACCGACCAAUCCUUCCUAAUUCACAUCUUUUUUGAAAAAAUGUCUUUUGUAAUUCCUUACAUAAGGACUCAGAAAAUACCGGAUCCCCACCUACACAAGCAAAUUGUUGAUAAAACUCCAAAAUAGCAUUUUCUUUGACCCAAAUCUUUUUUUUCUCCUUAUCAUUCGGAAAAAAGACAAGCAAAUUUCAGGAUAACAAACAUUAUCUAGAAUUUUUCUUAGAUUCGAACCCAUAGCUGAUGAUAGAACUAGAAUAGAUAUUUUUUGUUUCCUACUCACGCGGGCCAUAUCCUUGCUUUUCUAUCAAUUUCUAAUUCCGAUCUUCCCCCCCAAAUCUGAUAUUAUAGUGCUGGUAUAGACAGAAAUUCCGUUAUUGUCCAAUUAUUAACGGUAGUAAAUACCGGGACUUUGCAAUAUUUGAUUGAUCACAAUUCUGUAUAUUCCAUUUACUAUAAAGGUUCCUAGGGAAUUCAUUAGAGGAAUAUUUCCAAUAAAAACGGUUUGUUCUUGCAUAUCUCUACCGGUUUUAAAAAUGAGUCCCGCGGGUACAUAUAAUUCAGAAGAAUAUGUGAGUGAUUCAUACACAGCAUCUCUUUCUUUUAUCAAGGGUUCUACCUAUUUAUAUGUUUCAACAAAGAAUUGAAAUUCAAUUUCUUGAUCUUCCAUUUUUUGAAAUUUAUGAAAUUCUUCCGUCAAGCCCUGAUUAAUGAAUCUAUAAAAUCCCUCAAAUUGAAUCUGACUAAAUCCAGGUAUUGUGUACAUUCCCUCAUUUCCAUUCCGGAGCAUCUUAAUCUUAAGUUUCCUUUUUAUCGAAAAAAUCCCAUUAUUGACUCACUAUUCAUCGAACCAUACGGAUCGAUCUAGCAAUGAUGGAAUGUAUAUUCUGUUUACUGAAUCACAUGAAAUUUCAGCCAACUCCAUAUAUGUAAUGUAAUUUAUUUCAUACGUAUGAACGGAAACGAGACGGAGGAAUGAAGAGCAUUUUCGACGCAAGUUCGAAUUUGCGACAAGUACAAAUGGAAAUGAAUUGAUAAAACAUUCCUGGAAAAAAAUUCUAUCACUUCCACUUAUGGAGUCUUGUAUAGACUAUCAAAAUUGAUCCAAUUUCUACCAAUUAUUAUGAUAUUACGAUCAGAUUGGGUACCAAAAAAAGAAAUGGAUUCAGGAUGAAAUCUGCUCUUUAUGAAUGAGAUAAAGACAGAAUAAUCAGGAGCUGUAUAGAAUUUCCUUUUUUUAGCACACUUUAAUGUUCAAAAAAGAAUUCGCGGAUUGUUUUUUGUAGUCAAAUUGAUAGAUAGAAUACGAUUGAAUUGCGUAAUAGUAAUAGGAGUAGUAUUUAUUAAGUACAUGCCGAUAUACCUAUCCGCAUAUCGCAUCUUUUAUCGUCAUUUUACUUGUGGCAACAGAAGUCAGGUCGCACUAUAUCAUAAUUCCUAUUUUCUAUUCAAAAUAUUCAAUGAAAAAUUGAAGCACGAUAAUUCUCUAUAGGGAUAUGUACAUAAGAGAAAGACCCAAUUCGGUAUCUGUGUAACAAUUUCUGUUCUGGGGUUUACAUAUACACAUAUAUUUUGUUAUAAUUGAAAUUUUAAAGGAUUGAUUAUUUCAAUCAAAUAAUUGAUACUGAUUAGUCGUAAAUCAAUUUUCUUUUGUUAUACCAUUAAAGAAACACAAUUUGAGAUAAAAAUUUAAGAACCGUUCACUAAUUCUAAAGUAAAAAAAGUUAAUGGUUCCAAUUUGCCCUGAAUUUUUCGGUCUGUGACCGGAAAUCUAUUUUUUCUCUUUUCAAUAGAAGGAGAAGGGAAGUUUUUAAGCAGUGUGUCUUUUGAGAUACAAUCAAUCGAAGAGAAUAAUCUAAACUGGAUCCAAUAAAAAAUAGGGAUGAAUUUUUGAAAAGGGAUAAGUACAAUGGGAUUCAAGAUAAAAAAGAAAUUAGUAAUAGAAUAUGGAUGGAUAAAAAGAGUAUCCAUUUUUUUUGGAUCAGAUUUGGCGGCAUGGCCAAGUGGUAAGGCGGGGGACUGCAAAUCCUUUAUCCCCAGUUCAAAUCCGGGUGUCGCCUGAUCAAUAAAAGACUUUCAAUUUAUUAUUCUGCUGAUCUAACUCGACAAAUUCUUGCCCCGCAAGAAGCAGAGGCAAACGACUAGGCCUGUCGAUACUUGAUUUUGAGAAUCCAUAAUUCUAUAAAAAAAAAACUGUCCAUUUUUUUUCUCAAAAUCUGGGUUCUGGGUACCGGUCCAAACCAGUACCAAUAGGUAUGAAGUAACCCUUACUUAUUAAUGAUUGAUUCGGACAUUUAUUUGAUUUAUGAUAUCAAUUGAAUCAAAUAAAUAGUGAGAGUCAAUUCUGGGAUUCAGAACUACGAAAGUAAGAGGUCGGAAAUCUUAGUAUCCAAAGGUUCCUAAAGGACACUCCAUUUUUGCUUCUAGGAUUGAAGAAGAGAUUAUACGAAAGACUAUCAAGACUUCCUAAUUAUCUUACACUACCUAUACUAAAUACUAUAAUUUUGUCUACUGACUCUGUCUGGAAUUAGAUUGAAUAGAAUAGGCUGAUGGGAAAGAAAUUUAGAAGUUGUGGAAAGGACUGAAGAUACUUUGUAUCCAGACUCACGAGAGGCUUUGAGUACUCAAACAUUCAAUCAACAUGGUUGGGCGGCUCUUAUUUAUAGAGUCAAAAGAAAAGUGGAAAAAAAAAAUGUCAAAAGAGCCAGAUGAGUCUAUAGACGGAUCAAAAGAAUCCGAUCUCGAAAGAAGAGAAAUGAGAAUGCCUCGUAGCAAUUCAUUGGCAUACCAACGAUAAAUUCCUCCCAACUUUGGAAACGACCAAGUCUUGUUUUCGUCAUUCUUACCAUUUCUAUUCAAGAGCCGAGUUUGAGAUUUGAACCUCAUUCCGGCUCAAAAUAAAGCUGCUAAGGACUGAAACUGAGCAUUUCUCUUUCUGUCUAGCUUAGAUAGCACAAAGAUGCAUCGGAUUGCACCGCAUUAGCUCGAUCCUUUUCCGUUAGAGUCAGAACUAGAAAAUGCUUUCUUUGUCUAUACCUAGGUCUUAUUAAAAAAAAGCCCCUCGUCUUUUUUUUUAUAAUGCCCGGCUUGGAAAUAAAAAAAAACAAUCAUAUAAAAAAAAAGUAAAGACAGUUGUCCCUUUCAAGGCAUUAUUACUUAUUAACUUAACAAAUCUUGGCUUAAUUUGCGCUGGCUUAUAUGUAUUCGACUUAUCCCUCGUGGCUAGGAAGGGGCGCAUCAUAUUCCUCUCUUUAUGCUUUAAAUCAAGCCAUUGCAAUUCCAAUCUCGAUCAGUUCAUGCCAUAAAUCCAGCUCUUUCUUCUCCUGGACCAGAUUGAAGUCUCGGAUCCACUAAUACGAGCAGCGCGAGCAGUGGUGCAAUGAAUAGUAGUUGGAAGCAGGCAGCUCAAUAAGCGAAUCUGUCCCGGAUUCAAUAAGUGCAUCGCUUGAUGAAAGUCGGAUGAAACAAGAGAGUGAGGUCCCUGACGGAAAUAAGAAGGUUGUAUAAAUGAAUGAAAGAGUCCUCACAAUUAGAACUAAGGAAAAAGAGAGCUAGUAAAGAGCUCCGUAAUAGGAAAAAGGAAGAACUUUUUUUUUCAAUCCUGCCUUGGUCUCUAGUUUGCUAUAACAGAUAGUAGGCUAUCAACCGUUUCUCCUUUGAUCAAAGUCGACAAGUCAUGCCAUAAUAUGGCUUUCUUUCGAGCGGAAGGACUAGUCCCCUUCUUUUGGCUGUACUAGUAGCUCUCUAUACCUUCACUUCUAGUUGAGGCAGCAUCUCUAUGUUUUAUUCGACUAGAAAGAAUCCUAGUCUAUCGAGGAAGUAAUAAUAGAUAUGCCAAUUAUAUUAAUCUCAUCGCCUAAAUUUCCAAGGAGAAAGAAGCUAGUGAGCAAGUCCAUAUUCAGAUAUAUAGUCAUAUGCAGAAUUCUCAAUCGCACUUUCAAAAUCCUGUGGGCGGAGAUUGGAUGAGUAGUGUGCACCAUUGGAUUACUAUACUAUGACUGAGUCAACUAUUUUUUUCUAAUGUCUUCUUUGUAAUGAUAAUGAUGGUAGUCAGUCAAGAUUGAUCUGUUAGACGAAUAGUCAGCCAUCAGCCUCGUGGCCAAUCAAUCGCUAGUGCAUUUGUGGUUAUUUACCGACCAUAAUAUUCAAAAUAGCAAAUGGAUUCUUCGUCUCAAUGCCAUGGUUUUCAUAAGCAUAAGGAGCCUGGCCUGGAACUCCCCUACCAUUGGAAUUGCAUCCACGGGCCUUUAUAUCCAUUUCAUGAUAUUAGGUAAUAAAUCUUAAUGCAAUAACUUUUUUUUUUUGAGUUUGUAGUCCUCCCUUAUGCCAUGGGCUUUGUUAGCCAAGACGAGAGGUACCCUAGAGGCUGUGUCCUGUAGAAAAUCGGACAAACAUAGGCGGCUCCCCUGGUGCGCGGGGGGCUAGAAAGGCAUUCGUUCCAAGCCCCGAGAACACCCAAGCAAAGGAUGUCUAUAAAUUGAACAGCCCUUGUAUUUUAACUCCCUGAAACGACAGCGGAAAACGAUCCAUUGCCGCCGACAGAUCAAAAGAAUGCAAAACGUCCCAUUUUUACAAGCGGCGGAGAGGCCCUUUGCUUGACUUGGGCUCGAAAGAGGUGGGCAGCCAGCGGCAUGAAUCACUCAUUUCGGGUUAAUCCCUUGGUCGAGGGCUUUGUUAUCGAAAAGGUAGUGGUAGUGGGUUCAGUGCAAUUCGAGGAUAUGAGCGCAUUGGCUAUUUCCGACGCUUCAAUCGCCAUUUCGACACCGGGUCAUUUUUUUAUGUCUUUACCGGACGAUCUCGUAGCGGUGGCCAUAUAAUUAAUAGGUUCCCUCGUUCGUAGAAGGGCACGAUGAUUGAAUGCAUAACCCAUUCUUGAUUAAAGCAAUCAUCAAACCGUAGGAGGGGACUGCUUCCAAAAUCCUUCUUCUCCCACAGUUGGGUAAGGGGGAAGUAAAUUACCCUAGAGUACUACCCGGCGACUUCCCUUGCCCGCUUUUGCUCCGAUGAAGGCAUUGGAAGUGCUGUUGAUUGUGCUCCUCAAAGAAAGAAGGUCAGUAUCUGCAGUGGAGUAAGAAUCCCCCGUGGAACAAUGGUCUAGCCCCACGGACUAGUCGUUCAGUAGUCUUACAGAGCAAUUACUCAAUGGUCCAGUUGUUUAGCCCUACUAGCGGAAGCCAAGAAUUAAUCGCAGUUGUUGGCAGCGCACAGCAUAAGUCUGACGCCUGCUGUAUAGCCUACCGUCAAGGGCCCGGCAAACGGAACUCAGAGCUGCUCAAGGCACCACCAGCCCUUGGCACAACGAUCAGGUCAAGCAAAGCGCUCCAACCAAAGGGGCGCAGCGCGCACAUAACUCCUUAAUAAAAAAGAAAAAGCAGGAAGUUUUCAAGCUCUUCACAUUGUGAAACUGGAAUCCUUAAAUUGCUUAAUGGCAUUCGAUUUCGUUCCGUCGGCGAUCCUCGUUGUCAUGUCUCCUUGUGUUUCUGUUCCUCUAGCUAGGCUAGAGCAAUAUAUUCUAGAUUGAAAGAAUUACAUAAAUAGUUUUGAAAUCCUUCGCGUAUUAGGAACCAGCCCGGUCUUUAGCUAUGUAUAGGACUUUUCUUGGGAUGACUGAUUGACUGUAAUGGGAAUGAGUAGCCCCUUACCCUAAACAAGCGAGCACAAUAGAGCUUACAGUUGUCGUCUAUCUUCGCCCGAUCACCGAACCGUCAGUCUUAACUCCUUGAAUCAGUCAGCAAAUUAGUCAGUCCAUUAAUCUGUAGUGGAAUAGUCUCACCAGCCCGUAGAAUAGUCAAGUAGUGGGUGAGUAGAGUCUUUGCUUUUGUGGGCACCGGGCACACAGCAAGAAGUAGCUCCGUCAACACAGCUCUAGGCGCACGCAAUCAGCUCAGGAAGAGCACAACUCUAACUAGCGAAGCGAGGCGAUCAGCUCAAUUGAAAGAGAGGGCGCGGUGGGCAUACAAUUCUUCGAUUUCAUUUCUUGCCUGUUGCACUGCGUGAUAAGAAAUUUCAUUUAUUGAUCGGAUUCGAUCAGAAAGGAAGGGCAUUUUCUUGUCCCACCUGGCAAGGUGAAAAUCAAAAGAAAGAAUUCGUUGCUUCAACCUCUUUUCUCGUGGUAGGUGUAGGUAGGAGAGAGAGUAGAAGGGGGAGAUUCGCUGCAGCGGCUGCCUUGGCUGCAGAGGAAAGGCGAUUGCUUGGUAAUGGUUGGUAAUCAAAUCAAAAGAUCUUUUCUUUCGUUUUCGUGGAUAACAUUGAUCCACAAUCUUUUCUCUGGUUAACCAAUCAGGAAUAACCAGCUCCUACCCGCUCAAGUGAGGCGAGAAUAGCCCCGUCCCCCUUGGCUAAAUUCUUGUAUUCCUUCACUCAACCUUGGCUUGAUAGGCUUAGCACGAUACUACGGUUCUUCAGGCCCGACUCGGCAUGGUUCACCACGUUCCUCAGCUCUUUUGGCUUGUUAUAGUUUAACCCCGGCUCCUAUGGUCUAUGAUUUCUCUUCUUAAGACCCGACCGCUAGGUUCGUUCGAGAGGCCGGGCACGGUGUAGCUUGGGGCGCUUCUGCAAUAAAUAAAAAAAUAUAUGUAGAGUACACAUCUAACGGUUCGCUCGACUCACUUAAGUUGUCGUUUUGUCAAACAUCAGGUGGCGCAUAUCCCAAACCGAGCCGGCUAGUCAACACCGGUACUACAACAGGCUGGGGAACACCUUGCCUUAUCUCAGUAGGCUACCCAACCCACGGCCGUGAGAAUGAAUAUUUCGCAUUGUUCGACUGGAUAGCGAUAUUCUCCAUGUGUUGAGGGAAAGGCAUCUUCACGAACGGGAGGUUCGGGAUGGGGAUGUGGAUAAAGCCGGCAGAAUGAAAUGUUGGCCCUUCACUUGCCUUAGGUGGUGGGAUAAGAGAUGGAGACUGGAAAAGGCUUCCCGGAUGGGGAAGAAAGACUGAGGGAUAGACGAUGAGGUUCCCUCUUCUCCAACUUAUUGUCUACCCCUCCCUCUGGUAUCCGCUGCCCGACCUUUAUUGUUCGUUCGCUCCUGACCGGUGUCCCCUCCCGGAUGGUCGAGUUCACAAAUGACCUUGCUUCAGUCUGACUGAGCCGGUGAGGGAAAUCCCGGCAAAAACGGUAAAUCAAACCGGCUCAACGGGUUCAAAGGGCUUGUCCUUCCGGCCCGCAACAAACACUCGCUCGGAAAAGGGCUGGCUAGUUCUGUCAUCCGAGCUCGAAAGCGUUUGUGUGGAUUUGAAAGCGCACGUGAGGCAAUUCCGUGUCGUUAGGGCUUAAAAGGGGCACCAGAGCUUGUCAUAACUCGCGCAUGCAGCUAUCUAUAGUGUGUUCUCGUGUUGCGAUGAGCUCUCCCCUCGACCGGGAAGGAGCGGGAGAAGAAAAGUCGAUCGAAGUGCCCCCCCUCACCUAUAAAGAAGGUGUCCGAGCGAAACGGCUUAAAUAGCUACCGAAGGAACUAGUUGCUUUCGCUGCAGGGACUAGCAACCCUCCUAGCUGCCUGAAGACUAGCUGCCUAACUAGAAGCAAGGACUAACCGCUUUUACAAGUUGCUUUUUUCAGGGGCUAGAAAGACAUACUCCCGGAAAAGCUCGGCUCGCAGGAGGCUCUCUAAGGAACAAAAUCGCCAGCCCCCUAGACUAGAAAGAAGGGCGACCCGGUCUCCGCAAGUCGUAAAGGUCAAGUUGGUGACCAACCGAAGUCGUAAAACGAAUGGUACGGAGGUAGCAAAAUUCCUGGGGAAGAAAUAGACAUGUCGUGCGCCCUAUGAAGGACGGACCGGAAAGGCGGGCGAGACAGAAUGGGCGGGCACUACUAACAAAGCCAAGCCUUUUCCGCGAGACUGCUUACAUAGUUUGAGGUUUCCUUAUAUAUAUAUAUAUAUUAGCCCAGUCAUGAACCACCCUGGUUGGAGCCAUGGUCUACCCAGCAGUGCUUCAUAUCCUCCUUGCUCUUUGUCUAAGAUUGGACUAAAGGUACCGGCACCCUGGCGGCAUUGCAUCCUUUUUUUGUUUUUUCUUUUGGCUAAUAAGCCCUUAGGUUGUACGCCAGCCAUACGUAGCUUGAACUGUGAUGGCCACAAUGCUUAGCUAUUGCCGAUUCCCAAGACGCCUUUGGUUAAAUGUUCACACCUGAUCCACCGUCUGCACUUCCUACAGAAACUCCCGGAAAUGGAAACAGGAAAACAGGAAUUGUCACCUCCCGGUCUGCUGUAGUCAGCCUCACGGUGUGCCUGUCUGCCGUCUCCACGGCUUUCCCUUUUGCGGGCUGCUCCUCAUCAAGGCCUUCGAGUGCCGAUCUUCGCUUGGGCCGGCUCCGAGGCUCUACCCUGGCUUUUCAUUGGUUCCUCCUUUUUCGUAUCGCGCGCGCAUCUUCAAGCAAUCGGGGGAGGCGCCGAGUACAUAGACGAGGCGGUCCCGGGAAUGAUAAACAUUACCUCGUGCUCUGGAACUCCAACACUUCGGUUGAAUAAUUAAGGUGCAAUCUUUUGAAACCGUAGCGUAGGCGAAACCUGGCAGCCCGCCAAGAGUUUAACGUUCUCCGGUCCUUCCAGGAAACCCUACUUUCCUUCCUUCCCCCGUUCGUCACCGGGGUGAUGCCUAAUGCCUAAUCAAUGCUUCACGGCCACCGUGCGAUGCUGCACGCUUUGUCGCUUCGCUCGAGCAGAGAGGAUCAAAUCCGUUCGAAAAACACUUUUCGAUCGGUUGGUCGCAUUGCAAGAAAAGUCGCGCUUAAAGAAAGCUCCUACCGCGCCAGAGAUGAGAUCACUUUCAAGGAAAGAGAUAACUUGAAAGACUUUCCAGCGCCCUUGGGAAUACUACUGUAGAGAAGCAACGUGGGGGGUAAGACUAACCUGCGGGCAGUCCGUACUUUUUUAGUAGGCCAACCUAAGACUUGCACCGUGGUAACUCCGAGAACCACACUUCUCACUUACUCAAUCACACCUCCUUUCAUCACCCGGAAUCCUAUCGCUUCUGACCAGGCGGAUAUUCCUUAGAAGGAGGUGACCUGCACCAAGGCCAAUGAGGAACCUCACAGGCAUAGCCUCUCACUAAACAGACCUUUCUGAGCAGCUUUCACUCUCAUAGCAAAGCAAGAAGCAAUGCUUAUCAUACGUCAUUCUUAAGAUAAGGAAGGGAGGUCGGAUACUUAUAUAUUCUCUGUUUAUUCAUUGGCUUUAGCUUCAGAUCAAUAGGAAUCGAAGCUAUGUGAUCGAUCGAGCUACCCGCAGAGAAUUCUUUAGUUAAGCUUGUCGGCAGGCAGGAACUUAAUAAAUAAUGUGCUUCACGACCAAAAUCAUGUGAUCCGGCUCUAAGGUCUCGGCUUAAUCACCAGGAAUGCCACCCUAAACAGCGAACCUUACCUUGUGUGAGCGAUUUCACUUGCUUGCUAGAAUAGAAGCACGAGCGGACCGCUUCCUCCAGUUAGGAUGCUGUUACUGCAGGGCAGGGUGAAGGGGAGGGCCAGGACUCAGCGAAAAGAGUUGUUCUCGCUUGCCUUCAGCCAGCUUCAGACUUUAGUGGAAAUUCAUUCCCGUCUCGGAUCUUAAUCCUUAGGAUUCAUUCGGAGGAUCCGGUGAAGCCUUUUAGCAGGGAAUAAUUCUAAUUGAAUUCCAUAAUCAUCUGAUUCAUCAUCUGCUAUUUCUUCGUAUGCUUUUUUUUGUUUUAGCAGAAUCGGAUUUGCUUCGAAGCUCUCUCUAUCUAAGGAAAGAGCAAAGAAAACAAAGCUAUAGCACACUCCUCCUCAACAAGUGCUAGCGCAUAGCGCGAUGCUAGGAUUGCGCUUGCUGCAAAGGAAAGGUAACCGUAACCAUAACUGUAUCGUCUCCUACUAAGACCUAGCCUAGCCACCGCCUUCUGUUAUCUUCCCUUUCCGUAUCCAUCCUAGGGUAAGAAGAAGCAGAAGAGAAAGCCCUUGAUCCGAGAAAGAAGGCUUUUCAAAAUCAACCACCCGGGAAUGAAGGUAGGGCAGAGGCAUUCGAAGAAGCUGUUUUUUCAGACGCAGAAAACAGAAGAUAGCACUGGAGAAUCGGCAACCCUAGAAUAUAGGUUUGCCAGAAAGACCGAUUAGCCAAGAGUUCACCCCCUUGUCUUUUCGGCGGAUCAGCUACGAAACCAUAUUUGUUUCCGGAUAGGUCUUUAUUAGGCUGAUUCCUGGUGAAUGAGCCGGGUGAUUCCCUUGCCCUUGACAAAAGCACAAGUUGUAACGAGUCUUUCAACUCAUGAUAUGCUUUCUAAUAUACGCUAUUAUGAGUUGAGUGAAGGGCUUUGGUUGGGUCUAGAGAGAGUGAGUGUGAUUUUCACACUGAAUCAUUCAAUUCGAAAGGGGUUGACAGAGUUCCAACAAAAUAAAUAGCGAAAUAGAAGUUCCGUUCCGCUCGUUGUGGCCUUGACACAGCGUUAAAGGGAGAUGGGGUAUAGAACCGGAAUAAAGGACUAGAAGAAAGGCGUAAUCCGGAACAGAAUAGAAAUUAUAUGAAAAAAGCAUCCACAUCAACUCUUUCAGAUGAAUAAGAUGCCAAUGAAGCAUCUGUAGAAGUAUAAGGAGAGUAUGGAAAUGUUUCCGAUAUACGAGUGGUUUGGUUACAUAAUAAGAAAAACAUGAUGAUAAGUCCGUCCAACCUAUUUACUUGGAAGUAGAACGAGAUUUUCCAUUGAGGGGAGGGCGGUGGGAAGGAGGGAAACCACACGUUCAUAUUGGCGGCAACCGACUAUUUCUCCAAGUGGGCGGAGGCCGUACCUCUAAAAUCCGUGACAGGGGCGGCGGUAGCAGAUUUCAUCCGCACCAAUAUCAUCUACAGAUAUGGGAUCCCCGCAUUUUGUUCUCCAUUCAAGAACUAAACCAUGGACAAAUUCGGCGAGAAGUAUCAAAUCACACAGAACUUCUCUACGGCAUACAAUCCGCGACCCAAUGGACUUGCUGAAGCGUUCAACAAGACGCUAUGCAUGAUAUUUAUGAAGGUCGUCUCCAAGAAUAAACGCGACUGGCACGAAAGGCUGCCGGAAGCUCUAUGGGCCUACGGGACCACGCAUCGCACGGCGACGCAGUCAACACCUUACUCACUAGUCUUCGGCGGCGAAGCGGUUCUUCCGCUCGAGGUACAAAUUCCCUCGCUGCGGGUGGCCAUGCAGUGCUCUAUGACGAUGGAGCAAAACGCGAAACUUCGGCUCGCUGAACUCGAGGGCCUGGAUUAAAAAAGGCUGCAAGCUCAGCAAACGCUUGAAGUAUACCAAGCAAGGAUGUCUCACGCAUUCGACAAAAAAGUGCGCAGGCCUUCUUUCAAAAAGAGAGAUCUCGUCUUGGCUAUAAAACGGCCUAUCGUAAUCUCGCGCCGAUCCAAAGGAAAGUUUGAGCCAAAAUGGGAAGGGCCAGUAGAAUGGGUCUUUUCAAAUUGUGCAUACCAGCUCAUCACUGCUGACGGACGCAGAAUGCCUGCCAUCAACGGGCGUUUCCUAAAAUGGGUACUUCCCUUGAAAAGACAUGCACACGUGGGAGGAGUGUAAAUUGCAAUAUAAAGCAGGUCACUUCAUCACGACGCAGAAGCCGUUACACUGUUUGAACAUGCUUGUCUUACUUGACAUCCUUCAUGCGUAUCCGAUUUUUAUCCAAGCAUGAAGGGACGAUUCGUAUCUGGGGCAGUUUGCUUGCUUGCCUUUCUCGAGCGGAUGGAUGCUGCGUUCUUCAAUAAAACUUGCAUCAGUCCCCAUACCCGUGAACAUGCUGGCAGACUCGGGGACGAACCUAUGCUGUCUGUUGUCGCGGAAAAUUUGUUGAAGUAUUUCAAACAGAAAGGGGAUUUCAAGGCAGCUGCAAAAGUGGCCUUAAGGCGCGUCGAGCUUGUGUAUUAUAAACCUAAAGAGGCCUGCGAUACAAUGAAGAAAGCUGGCAGAGCAGCACAGACAAAAACAGCAUAUUACGGAAUAUAGCUGCUAUGAACUAGUUGUGGGUAGGGAUGCUUAUAUACCCUCACCCUCUAUACCAGCCAAUGACUAUGUCCCCUGGGACAAGGAUUUUUGGCAUGACUAAGCCACCUUUCGCUAGCCUCGGCCAGAAGACUUUAGAUGAAUUCCGGUUGGGAGCAAGACAGGGUUAGAAGCAGACAGGCAAAGGUCUCCUCUUUCUGUCCGCUCUUCCCACUUGAUCCACUGAUCGCCUUCCUGAAUUGACUGACUUACUGACUUCGGAGCUGCCCUUUUACGUAGUUGCCUCGGUCUGAAAAAGGGUGGAUCCUCAUUGUUAAAGGUCAAGGGUCGACAAAACAACCCUUACUCGCUUGGUCCUUUCUUCCCGUCCGAGCCAACCGCAAACAAAGCUAAGAAUAAAAGCUAAGCUAACUCUCUCUCGGUGCGGAACGAUAUGAUCUUCCAACCGAACGAACAGGAGAUAAAACAACAAUGUAAAUGAACCGAACUGGAUGGAUCACUUUCUUUCCAUCCAAACGGACACCCACUACACGAGAUGAAAUUUCGCUGCUCCACCCUCACUUCACUUUUUUCGUAUCGGAACUACGCGUCUUUCAUUCAAGCCCAGUAGCUCCUUCGAUCCAACACGAAAGGAAACAACUACCAUUUUUGACUUCCCAUUGUAUGCGGGCUACUGUGGGCUACGUUGGUCUGUGGGCACCCGUCUUUCUAUGGUCCACUAGUCUGGAGUACACUGACUGGGCUUCUUACAGGGAAGGAGGCUACUACUUUGAUGGGGCACCUGCGAUAUUCCGUUUUUCGCCUCCGCUUGCUCGUUUCACCCCUUAAUAGACGAAGAAGACUUAUUCAUAUUCGAGGAGAAGCUUUUCACUCCCGUGAAAAGCUUCCAUGUUGACGUACCUCCUACCUGAGCUGCACCAACUACUAGAGAGGGCAAGGGAGAUCAAUGUUGCCGUAGCUACUAGUCCGAGCUACUAUACUAACCCGAAAGCUGGUCCGACUACAGCGGCGGAAGUUGGCUUCCAAGACGGGGGGACGGGCUUAUUUGUCUCCUGACGGGUGCAAUAAGAAGUCGAGGUCUUAACCAGAAAGGAGGGAUUCCACGGCCUGUAAUGUAGCCGGUUACGGUUGGAGUUUGCGCAAUAAUGGCUGGUGCUUUCCUCGACUUCCGCUUCCGGCUUCCACAUCCGCUUCAGUGCUUGGGCCUUUGUUGCUUUCGGACCGACUUUCAUUGAUGGCAGAUGUUGUAUCAGCUCGGCUUGGAGCUCUUUCUUAAGCAGCUGUUGUUUUAGGUAUUCCCCAUUGGGGCUUAGGGUUAGGGGGGAGGGGCUCGGAGCUAAGUCGUGUAAAUCUACUACCUUGCCGAGUCCUAAAGUGCACUAAUGAGAAUGGAGAGAAGGUCACCUCACCCGGCGCUUCUUUGAUGAUUUCGUUUUCUUUUAUAUAGAAAGUACGAAGUCAGACUCCAAUUGAGUGGAGCACCUCGAUGAUAAAGUGAAGGAGGGGGAAUCUUCUAUUUAGAGACAUGGCACCCAUUGUUUCAACACAAGGCAAUUUUCUUCAUUAAUAAAAGAGGCUUUCUCUAGCGAAAAAUUCAUUCAUUUCAAAUGCGCGUAUAUGAGAAACAAUCCAACUGGAAAUGGGAUGUUCAGAUGUAGGCAAAGGAACCGAACAAGAUCAAUUUCUGUAUUCGAAUUUCAUAAGAGGAUCCGAUUUCAGAGUCGAGGUUAAAGAGUCAAGAUGCAGAGGAACCACCGCCCAAAGGUGCCUUUAAAGGUAAGGCCGGUAGUAGGUGGCUAAUGUUUGACUUUUUUGGACCAAAGGAAAUGAAACUGAGCGUUUCCUAAAUGGAGAUUGGGUUGAUGUUCAGUAUUUAUUACUGUAGUGAAUUCUUUCCUUUUUUUCUACUGUCCCGUUUUGCGCUCGCGAGGGAAGGGUUGGUGAGAAAGACGGAGGUAGGGUGUUACUGGGUAAAGGGGAAACUAGUGACCUGUGACAGUUGGUAUCAGAGCCAGCUUGUGAGAGUAGUUGGCUUGUGAAGCACACAAUGUCGACCUCGGAGAUUGUCAUGGCCGACAGACAUGGCUAACUGUGUGCUGUUUAUUUAUUGAUUGGCUAAAAUGAAUUUGGAAGUCAUGUCCGAAGUCGUUACCUUAACCGCAAGGUCGGGGUUGAGUUGAUAAUUCGGGAGGAGCAUGCGGACCGCUUGCUUCGCCAAGAACAACCAUUGGUUGUAGCAAUUUUGAUCAAUAGGAAGAGGAUAAGUUCGCUAGGAAAUUUGGACAUGCCACGACGAUCCAUAUGGAAGGGAAGUUUUGUUGAUGGAUUCCUGUUGAGAAUGAAGAAGAAGAACAGAGACCAGAUCUAUCAUCACUCUCCCCAAAACAAGGGAUAUUCUUCUUUCAGUUCUGUCUUUCCUUUGCCAACUCGUAGUGAUCUCUUUCUUUAACGCAUUACUGACUUUACAGGGUCUUCCUAUCAUCGUUAUCGCAACGUGCAAUGAUGAUUCCGAUGAACAGGAUCUGCAUAAAAAAUGGAGGGAUUGGCCCCCAUUUGUGAUUAGUCUCCUCCAGCAACUCUGGAGCCUGUUCCUCCUUUGUUGGAAAUCCCCGCAGCUGUGGUCAACCAGGAAGACCUCUGGAGGGAAUUGGAGCAGCAGGAGGAGGCUGCUCCAGCUCAUCCGCGUCCCGAUGCGGAUCUGGAUCCCCAUCCCGAGCUUCCUGGUAAAAAAAUGUAGUUUAUUCACAGGCAGCGACAAUCCUACUCCGAAACAGUUUAGGCGAUCUAUAAUCGCCUCAUCUUAUAUCAUAGGGAUGUGAGUACUCUUCCUGAGCCCGAACGACUGUUGAAGGAGGCUCAACAAAUCUAUCAGAUCAAGGGGGAAAUCCUCCAUAAACAGGAAGAUCUGGAUAGAGGAGGAGGUUGGCUUUGGAAUGGAGCCCAGUUCCUAAGGCAUAACACUGGGGCCGAUUUUAGUAAAGAAACGCUCCGUAAGAUCCUUCAGGAUCUGGAAAAGGAGGGUGCAAAUAGCACCUACUUUCAUUCCUUCCACAAAGCUAAAAGAAGGGAUUGGGAAACCAUAUUAUUUCAGCCGCGGCGGUAGGGGAGAAGGAAGGCGUAGGGCUCACACAAGUAAGUGCAGGACCCCCUACGGGCCUUUCUGAAGUGUGGCACAGCCAGGGAGGUAGGGGGGAGUGUGAAGCCUAGAGAGGCGGAAGCGGCAAAUCGCUUCUAACGAGUUCCCCAACACUUAGCUUAGUAGCUUAACUCUUUAUACUGGCGUGGCGCUGCUGGAUGCUUCUGAUCAAUAGGAAUAGGAGGAAAAAGAAAAGCUUAUGAUGAGCAUCUAUUGGAGUCGAUCAUUUCCAAGAUCUAAUUCCAGUUUCUUAUUAUGUAGUGGAAACGCCUCACAAUCUUCAGUUUUACGCUUACGCUUAAGGGAAGAAAUGUUCUUGGUGGAUGCAGGACCUGGUACCCCCAAAAUUUGUAUGCAAGAUGAGCCUACAGGAGUGCCAAUCAACCGAGCCACCAGGUUUGAGAAUAAGGUGGGAUCCCUGAAUGUAGUGGCUGGUGAAUCACUGAUCAAAAAGCGGAUUUUUGAGAGAUUCUUCAUCGAUCUAGUGGCCGGUGAAUCACUGAUCAAAGAGCGAGCAGCCGCCAGGUUUAAUGAUUUUGUUGGAUCCCUGGAUGUAGCGGCUGGUGAACCGCUUCUUCUUCCACGAAGAUUCAGACAAAACCGAGCUUGGAUGGAACUGAAGAAGAUUUGGCGAACGAAGAAAAAGGUCAAAGGGUUUAUUAUUGACAAAGUCAAAGGAGGUUAUUCAGUAGCCAUCGCAGGUUUCAUUACUUUUCUUCCAUUCUGUCCUCUCAUAACUCAAAGGAUAGCGAAUGAUCGAUUCACCAUUGAGAGCAUUAACCCAAAAAGGAGGAAUAUUGUGGUGUUAUAACAGCGGCAGAUCAAACAAGAACGUCGAUGAGAAAAAAAAAAGAAAGAGAAAAUUUUUCCAAAUCCGAAGCCCACCUUAAUCCAUUCUUUUUUUGAGGGUCUUGCACUUAUUCCGGCCCUCUAUUUACAUAGCGAAGAAAGGCUCUUGCUCGAAUGCGUGACUGCGGAGCGCCUAUCGCUCUGGCACGGCACUCUAAAAUGCAUGUUGGGUUGGGCCAGCAAGAAGACUGCGACUAGGGAGACGAAGAAUGGAAUUGAAGAAGGCAUAGUCUAACAUAACAGAAUGGAACACCAACCAACGAGUGAGUGGCGGAUUUGGAUGGAGUCUCGCAGAAGAAGAGUACGCGCGCUAGCGCGCCCCAAGACGUAAGUACUUUUUCCGCUUGCUGGCCAAGGAAGAGAGAAACCUUCAUCCCUUCCAACACCAACCCAAUCUCCAUUCCUUGAUGGGAAAUGAGCAAGACCAUAUUUUGAUAUAAAAUAUAGCCCCCUAUAUCAACCUGCCCCUUACUACCCGAACUUCUUACCUUCAAAUAGGACUAACUACCCGAACCCGCUUGCUUAUCUUAUACGAUCUAAUUAAGUUAAGCAGUGGUUAUUUAACGAAUAUGAAUUUUGUGAAACGAACUUCUAUCGACUACUAUUCUAGCACCCAGCUGUGCCAUGUCUUUAUUCUUUGAUUCAGGUAUUCCUUUGAUCAACUCUUCUUUUCAGGUCAGACAAUUUUUCAGAUCUUCUUAGUCAGCCUAUCUGUGUUCUUAUCCUAUAGUGCGGAUCCAAUCUUCUUUUCAGAAGCCAAGGCCUGACAUCUAUUGUGGGGAUCAUCUUUUAUCGGGAGACAUGGCCUGGUGGUUUCUGGUCGAGACUCCUAAUCAAUAGGGCGAAGAGCUCUUCGCAUGAUCUGGUCGUACGUUUCGUCAACGCUCUUCUAUUUUUUUUGUCCCUUCUCAGCUGCAGUCCUUACUAUUAAAACAUGAUGUAUGAUGUGUUAGCGUGAAAAGCGGCCAAGACGAGUAGAAAGCGCAAGGCUGACCGAAACGAAACUUCUCGAACCAGGCUCUUGGAAGGAAUAAAGGUGUUAGGGAGAAAAAACCUGUCCUAAGAAAAAAUAUAACUCCAACUGUAUACUUAACUUAAUAGGGUGAGGUAAGAUUUUAGAUUCAAAAGUGAGACUAAAGUUGGGGUAUAGGCAGUGAAUCAAUCAUUAUGCAGUCUUUACUCCAGAAAAAACAAACUAACGAUUGAUUCCGACGAUCUUCAGUCAGGAAUGACUUGGAAAGGGCAGUAGAAGCUAAGCUAAGCGAAAGAUUAUCACGUUCACUCAGUCGGUCAAUCAUUCGAUUGAAAUUUCAUCCAAGUUUGUUUACGACAGACUCCAUACCAAGGAUGGUUGUCUUCUCCUUCUUAUUCGUUCAGUCAAUGGGUCAGUCAUGGAAGGGUACUUAUGAGUGUUCUAAGUGCUUGAUCGAUCGCGAUGGAAUCUAGGUCACUAAGGUCGCACUAUCCGCCUGCUCCUGAGUUGGCUGAAAGGAAUUCGUUCUUUCAGUCCGUACGAGUGUUCUAGGGAGGCCAUUGAUCGCUCGCGAGUGCAUCUACGUCUUGAUCCGUCAUGCUUCCAUUCAUCCAUCAAUCUGUCAGUCCUUCGCGGAAGAGUGUAACCAAGUCCGCUUAGUAAUCUACUCUAUCGAUCAAUCUUCUUCUAAGGAAAGACCCGAAUCGAACACUCGUACCAUCCCCGCUUAAGUCCGUUUUCAUUACCUUAGUCAACUUCGGAUUAGGUACCGUCCCUAUCCGUGGUACAGAUAUUCUACUUAUGUAAAGUAGAAUUGUGCCUGAAUGGGCACAAGGAGAUGGGGCUCACCAUCUCUCCGGACGCCAUAUGUUCGAAUUGUAGAGAGUGUGGACCCUGUAGAGGCAUAGGCCAUUAUUUUUAAGGUUUGGUAUCUGCACCCGAGCUGGAGGAGAUUUGAUGCCGAAAGACCACUUGUAAAGCACAUAGCGCUCUCCUCUUGGGCACCCAGAAAAAAAUGAAAAUGGAAAGAAGGCGAGUAACCAUCCGUUCAUCCAUUUUUCUUUUCAAUUCGACGAACUGCCCUCCAGGCAGCAGACAGACUGAAGGCAAUGGGGAUUUAGCCAUUGGCAGGCUAGAUCACAUGAUCCUGAUGGCACCUUCGGCAACAAAAAAAAAGAAAUUGGCAUUUUCCAUGAUGCCAGCAGAGAGAUAAAAUGAAUGAAGGAAAAAAGUGUUGGGAUGAUCUAUGGGAAGCCAAGAGGCACCCAUAUUCUCCGAUGAGCGCAAAGAUAAGAGCCCAAUGAAAGGCAAGGUGCCUUGUCUGAUUCCAACGAAAAUAUAUGUUAAUAGUUGGACUAUGAAAAAACCAUAAAUCACUAAGUAAUAAGCUUCUUCUAUAAGAGCAAGGGAAAGUGAUAAGGAUCAAUAAGCUCCGGAGAGUGAGGAGGAGCAAAGCGAUGAAGAGGCAGAAGGUGAAGAGGAGGAGAAAGUGAUGACCCCACUAAACGAGUAGAGGAAAGGUCCCUGAGCCUCUCUGAACUGAUGUGACCAAGCCUCCGGUGCCACAGAUGCCACAGCCUAUUAGCUGUCUGUAUCUCAGAUGAAGAAGGUGCUAGGACGAAUGCAGCCCUCAUCACAUCAGGGGUGGGGACGGAGCAGAAGUCUAGAUAGAACAGCCGCCCUACGGCCUUUCCCAAUCCGCUUCCCUAUCACUAGAUCCUGAACAAACCCCCCUAAAAAAACACAAUGCAUUUAUUUUGACAAGUUUACCAACAGAUAGUUGGUUCAUCGAAAGUUGAGGAACAAAGAAAAAAAUGAAAAUGAAAAAAAGAAAUUUCGCCUUCCUCUUCCAGUUUAGCUAGACUCCUUGUUGUAGCAUAAAUUUCUUAUAAGCUUGUUGAGAAGUCUAAAGAAAGUCUUUCUACUGUACCAGAACGUCGAGUGAAUGUGAUCGUGAUCUCUACCACUAGACAUACAUACGUAGCGCUUUAGUGUAGCUAGUACAAGUGCAUACCAUGAUUCAUUCUUUUUUUACAUAACGGCUUGCAUUGCAUGAUAGAAGAAGCACUGUGCAAAGAAGAAGACUCGGGCUUGAUAAGUCUUUUUACUAAACUUGUUAUCGACGUCAGAACUGACUCGGCUACUUCUCGGCCGGAACUGGCACCCUGCUUGACUGCUAAGGAGGAGAGCUUGGUAUUUCACUCUUUUUCGAAGAGGAGUCAGAUAUUUUCGAUGGAGCAAUACCCCUUUUGGCUUUUUCAACCAUUUACCAGACAAGGAUCUUCUUUAUAGCCAAUAUAGAUAAGAUAGGGAUUGGGGGCUCUUGAACUGCUUAUCAGCCCGAAGCAACACUACUCUUUUCCCUUGGGCCUGAUCCGACAACUAUGAAAGGCAAUGCAGUAGUUUUCUGAAUCUUAUCUUCUAUCAUUUGCUUUAUCCAACAUGUCUGCUACAAUUCCGUUCCAGUCACUUUUUCCACGGAUGCAAUUCUUCAGCAGCUGAUUCUGCAGAUGCAAUAGUGGCUUCUGCGGCUGGAAACAUAGCUGCUUCAGCUUCAGAGGUUGCGAUAUCUAUCUAUAACAAGGAUCAUCGAGCAAAUGUCUCUGCAACUAAACUGUAAAAUCAUAAAGAGGAGAUAGAGAUAUUAAGCGCAUUCAGUUUAAGAAGCUCAAUACAAAGAUAAGUGCAGUGCUCUAACUAUCUUUCUUCUAAAGAAAAUUUAUCAAAUCUCCACUCCAAUCUCCAAUCAGCAAGACAAGGGGGAUAGCUCUGUAUAUAGAUAUAAGGGGGGACGACAUAGAUGCAUGAACACAUACUUCACAGGCAAUAAUGCAUUUAUCGAAUGAAAAGUGGAUUCAUUCGACCAUGGGCAUUCUCUUUUGUUCUCAAUUAUUCAAAAAACUAUAUUGAAUAGUAAAAGAAAAACGAUUAGCAUGUGAUAAGCAAAAGGCAAUCAUCAAACGUCGGACUGGGACUGGACCAAUGUGUACCUUGCUGCAGCUAGCUCGUACUCUGCGUUUACCAUCCAAUCUAUCAUAGUCAGCUCAUCCUAGGUAAGUCAAGUCCAUCUCUUUUAGGUUGUCAUAGACAGAUGAAUAGUGAAAAGGAAGCUUUAGCUAACAUAUGAACGUCGAUGAAAAUAUAAAGAAUUUGAUUCCAAGGACCACCACCUCUUAAACAAGCAAUUGGCUUUCUCUUCUUCCAACAACAAGCUAUGAGGCGGGCAAAAUUCGUCUAAUUCGAAUGCCCUAAUCUUCAUUCAUCUUCUUCCAUAGAGUUAGAGUAGCAUAGGUUAGUGUGCACGGAAAGAGAAAAUCAGACUCUGUUGGCUUUGCUAGGCCAGUUAUCUGAAGUCGACGCCUUGGACUUAGAAUGAAACUGUGACCCAUCUUUGAUUGAAAGCCUGGCUCCUUCACAGUCCGCAGCAGAUAGAAGAAGGGUAGGUCUGUGAUUCAUACCAUAUGGCUUGCUAUUUCAUUCGGUUGGCUUAGCUUUCAUCCACCUUUGUUUUUUAAGAAAAGUUUUUACACCAUCUUCUUCGUCUUCUUUGGAAGCUAACUAAGAAGAAAAGAUAAUCAGUCCCUUGUGCUCUGAUUCAUUCUUUUAUGUAUGUGGCUUCUUUCUGAUCUAGUCUAGGAGCACAAAGUCUGUCAAAGAAGGGUUAAGGUCUGUCUCUGGCCGGUAUUUCACCUAAAAAAAGAGAAAGUUCUUCUUUUUUUCUUAUUUAUACUUUUUUUUUGUCUAUGUCCAGCAUUGACUGUUCUGGCACCUCAUCAAUUAUCAAAUGAAGGGUUCGUUCUAUUUUAUUUGGUACCCAAUUCGUAGCUGAAUCGGACACAACCCAUUUUCUGGUCUUUUCUUUCGCUUUCGAACGAAUCCAUGAAGUAGGACAUAGAUUUAUCACACUCAAGAAGAUUCUGUUGAGUAUGAUAGACUCUCCAACACAGCAUUGGCUCGUGUUUAAACGGAGUGCUCUACCUAACUGAACUAUAGCUAUAGAGAUCUUAACAUAUAGAGUCGAGAAUUUCUUUUAAAUAAGGAUAUUCCAUGUUCCCAAGCCCAAACCAAGAGUCUGAAUUUGAUCAACAUAUUCAGUCUAGUAGAAGGAAGGGAGAUACGUUCCGCCCGUUUUCUUCUACUCUAGCAUCUACGGUUGGGGGUUGGUAGGGGCCAGGCCAGGUUUUGUUUCUACUUACCGCCCCGUCCCCGCUUGGAUGGAGGGAGUGGAGAAGGCCUGCUCGCUGAGCUCGGCAGGAAGGAAACAGGGCAAGACAAAGCUCGCUUCUACCCCUCCGUCUAACCUAUUGGCAGCCUACUCCGGUCGGAGCUCUACCUACAAGAACGAGAGGCGAGUAGAGGAAGGAAGUCACUCGCUCUAUAGUAAGUAUAAAUAAGGAGAGGAACGAGAGCUGCUUUUUUUUCCCUUGCUUGACCCGCUUACUUUGAACUAAUUAAACAUGACCUUUCCUGGGGAGUCUCGCUCUGAAAAAGAAGGUUCCAAUGAAUCCGAGGAAAACAGCACAUUAUGGCCAUGACCAGCUAAAGAUCACUGCCAUCUCACGAAUUGGAUUCGAAGCAAUAAAGCGACUUUCCUUUUAGUAGAUCGUGAGUGGGUCUAUCGUCCUCCUCAUUAUAGUUCUCCUAUCUAAAAAUCACGUCCAAUGGCAUUCAUGCUAUGUUGUUUGUUAUUUCGUGGUGGUCGAGUUCUCUAACCGUCUUUCUCAACUAAGUAGAUUAGACCCCCCUCGUCUACUGAGAACAUUCCAUUGACACAGGGAAUCGGAAAGCCACCCUUCACUACACAUGUGACUUUUGCCGCGAGGCGGAGUUCUCUUAGUAUCGCCUCGAUCCUUUCAAAAGAAAAGGAAGCGAGGAAUGAACCGAACCUGGGGAAUGUUUUACUCCACGUGCUGACCGAUCACUCUCUGAUUUUGAUGAACCAUACGCUAAUUGACCUUGAAAGAAAGCACCUGCUUCCAUCACAAGAACGGGACAGACUAUCGGCGCGGGCGACCAUCUCUUCUUUUGAUAUGCUUAUAACGGAUACGGAUGCAAUGAUCCUCUUUCUCGUCGUCGUUUGGGUGUCCCUUAAUGGGCGCCUUUCUGGAGAGCAUUCCGUUUCACUCUAGAUCUGGUUCUGAGGAAGAGAUCUCAUCUGCUAUAUCGGGCUUCCUGCUUCCUGAGUUCUCUCAUGACUCAUCAGCAUCAGAGGCUGCCCCGCCUACCUUGCCAUCAGCCGUCUCAGAUGCCACAGAUCCCUCUGCCGAUGCCGCCAGACCAUCAGCUCCGUUGCAGACGUACUCCCGCGGGGACCCGAGCAUUCUACAUGUUCCUGCGAUAGAACAGUUCGCCCAGUCGUCUGCCUCUCCCAGUCAGCCUGCACCUGUUGCGGAUUCUGCUCCGCCGGUUCGUCGUUCCUCUCGUCUUUCCGUUCCUCCUUCUCGUUUUCUUUCCGUUUACUCUUUUUCUCCAGGUCAUAGGGCCUUUUAGUUUGGCCUCGGUUCACUCGUUCCAUGAACCCCCUACCUGAAAAGGGCCUACCGAGAGGCUGCAUCGCUUCCUUGCUGGCACCAAGAAAAAGGGCUUCAAAGCUCCUUUUUUAAACCCGAUUAAUCUAUAAAAAAAGCCUGCGUAGUAAACUCCUUGUUUUCUUUCUGAUAGCUGCCGAGUUUUCAAGUCAAGCGAGAAAGCAAGUGGAUCAGAAAAAGUCUUUCUGGUUGUCUCACAAAAGAGUACAGCGUGGCGGUAUACCUCUUUCUUUGUAAAAGGUUUUAAGGAUAUGGUUAAGCGAGCCAGUUGGCUCAACACAGCUUUAUACGUGAAAUGCUGUAGUGUGUCGCUUAUGCGCGCCUAUGGCGGAUGUUGGGAUCGACACGAAUCCUUACCGCAUCCGAUAUCCCUAGCAAGGCUCGAGAGACCUCGAGUGAUACCGAACUUCCAUAGAAGACUAAUUCGUCGUCAUGACGUUCGGGCGGACAGAUUAGUCAAAAUGUAUCUAUCCAUGUUCUCAGUGUCUAAGCUGAUUCUUGUUCCUAAACAGAGCAACUAUCAGUUUAGUAGCAUUGUGGACGACCCGUCGACAGACGUCGAGAGUGUUUUGGAGAAGUACGGUAUCCUAGUGAAGGACCUUUUCUUAAGGUAUGUGCAAGAACUUCCUUCCAUCCCUAUGGAGGUGGGCCUGAAUUGGCGUCCUUUCUGGUCUUCAUCUCCGGUGAAAGGUGAUAAGGCCCUAGUGGGCCGGACUCCCUUCCAUCGGAUGAUUUGGGAGCUGUUUGCGAUCGCUUUAUGGGAUCGCGCGGUUCUCAAGGGGUUGAACCCCAAGGAUCCGGAUAGGGCGGCGAAACGGGCUUGGCCGUUUGAAGGUUGGUUCCUUUACUGGAGCUCUAUCUUUAUACUGCCCCUGUUCAGCUCAUUCUUUCUGCCUAAGACCGUCUAUCCUUGCGAGGUCGCAAGUGAUGAGGAUCGGUCUCUGCGUGUCCUCCCUGUGAAGGUUGUAGAGUGACCUUCGGAUUCAAUUAAUAAUGAACGGCAAAGUCAUUUCAAAAGCAGUUGGUGCUGCUAGUUCAGAUGGUGCAGCUAGCGCUAGAGUUAGGAAGGCAAGAAGGCAAGGAGUUAGUUCACAGCGUCGAAGUCUGAAAGCAGAAGGCGCAGAAGGAUAUUAACGACUAGUUCUGAAGGCCAGGAAGACCGGAAAGCCUACUUCGCUCAUCAAGUCAAGCUGAAAAACGUGAUAGACGUGCGUACUCGCGCGAUAUGGCUUUUCAGCACGGGGGCAAGCUUAAGAAGAGAGUAGGGGCGCGCUAGCUGCGAAGAAAACGCUUACACAAUAUAGAUAUAGGGGCGCGCUAGCCCCCUACUAGUAAAGACUUUUCCCUUUACUAUUAAAUUUAGGUUUUUGGAAUUGAUUUUGAUCAACCGAGUACCGAGCAAAAAUGACUUGCUUUACUAACAGCAGCACCUGCCGUGGGCUUUACUGACUAACGAGUUCUCUGUCGCUAUCCGUCUAGAAGAUUGUGAAAACGGUUUUUUUCCUGGUUUAAUAGGGAGACGGUUGAAUAAUGUUGCUUAUGCCUUGAGCGGCUGAGUUAGCUGCAUUAAAGCUGGACGAGCAGGCCGGCACUUGUGCCGCACGGACCGCGUUGAGACCGCUAAGUCCGUGACAGCUAGCAAGCAAGCAGGCAAGCAAGAAAUAAAAGCUAGGAAAACGUACUAAAGCGCGCUCUAACGCACAAAGGCGAAAAUGGUGGCUCUACAGACCUAUUAUACUAGGGGAGACGGCAUUGCGACUUAACCGCCACUCGCCAAGCUCCUUAUGGUGGUGCUGUGAGAGUGAAUUCCCAGUCUUCCGGACCAACUUCCAACAGCCGCGAGCCACCGCUUUCUCCCUCUUCGUUCUCCUUUCUUUCACGGGGCGUUAUGCGUGAUUUGGUUGGUGGUCAGUAUCUCUGCUGGGUACCGGAGUGCGAUCCCAUAGCCAAGGGGCCUAGUGACGAUCUAAUCGCAUUUUCCGUCGCCCUAAGUGUUCAGUUCCAACGCUACGAUCGUCCGCGCGCACCGGUUGCACGCGUUAGCUACAUAGAGGUGUGUAGCAGAAGAAUCGCCAUGUGAAGCUUACGAGCUUGUGAUGGGCCGAGCCUAAGGCGUCCCUUCCUACCUGUGUGCGUUGGACAGCGCAUAUUUUCCGGGUCUCUUUCCGAACUUGGUACUAGCUUUCUUCUCUGUCUUACCUUGUUCUUGAGUUUCCAAGGCUCUUUCCCAUCGAAGUCCUUGUUGGGCAGGUGCUAUUCGGGCAGAUUCAACUUCGAGCUAGGCUUUGCUGACUUGAAAGUCCAGGUGGAAGUAGUCAGAAUUGCUGACAAGCGGAGCUCUACUGAACCUACUUUAUAAAUGCAAUCGCCGGAUGAUUUCCCAUCUCCUGAAAAAUAUCCUAAGUGAGGUGGACUUUAUCCAUACCGUACUGGCAGGUACGAUGAGGUUUCUUAAGAAUACCAAUUCUUUCGGACCGAAGCGCGCUCAAUGGCUUUUUGGGGCUUUUCGCGAUGCCGAGAUAACUAACUACCCCUCCUCCCAAUGGGAAUAGGGGUUACGUCAUGUACGAAACUUUCUUUAUAGUAUACCACUUCUAACUUGACUACUUAAUAGUAUACCACUUCUGGCUCGUCAUGCUGCAUCUCUUCCGAGACCAGGACCUUUUAUCACGACUUUCGCCUCUUUCGUACCCUGCUUCCACUACUGUACGAAUAGCAUUUCCUUCUACACGAAUAGCAUUUCCUGCUACGGUUUGAGCAGCAAACGGGGUGUCCCAAAUCUCUUUUUCUCUUUUGCCUUUGAAUUCAAAAGUACCUGCGUAGGACCAAGAAACCCCCGGCAAGAGUAGGCCAAAGAAGCAAAGGAAUGAGCGCCUCGCCUUUACUCUAAUAAGGGCGUUAGCGCAUCCGUUUUCUUUCGUAUCGCUAGGCGCUCACGUUUUUUGUCUGGGUGAGGAUUGUUUUUUUGGCUUGCAACUUGAUUAGAGAAGGGCCGAUUUGACUGAAGCUUUCGAGAGCCUCCCUACAGAUCUUUUGCAUGCAACUUUCCUUCCUCCAGCAGUUCCUUAUGAUUCGGACAGCAGUUCCUUAUGAUUCGGAAUAGAGACUCCUUCAUCCCAUACCCCUAUAAUAAUGGUAGAGUAAGGGCUCAGGGUACCUUCCAUGAAUGGGACGGAGAAAUCGAUCGAUACCGCCUUACCUGAUAGGGGGAAAAGCGCCGGCCGAGCGGCGCAACGAUCAGUGUCAAUCAGCGGAAAAGGACCCUAAUCGAUUCGGGGUCGGUUGCUGUUGCCAAUAAGAGAGAUCCGUCGUUGCUGCCGGUCUUUCCACCAAUGAGCACUUGCUUGAGACCCCUUCACGCUGCAACCAAAGACCGCGCUUCGCUUGGUAAGAACCGAGACCCUUCGGCAGUCAACCUAUGGUUACCUUACGAUAGCUCAGGUUGGUUAGUCAAGUAAAUGGCGGCUACAGGAAGACAUACUUAAUGAAGCGGUGAAGCGGUCCAGCACUAACUAAAGGAUAGCCAUGGCCGGCUAGCGAGCCACUAAGAGAUUGGUUCUGCUUGGGAAGGGUCUACCCCAAAAAGAGUGUGUUUCUUCGGCCCUUCAUUAUUAUUAGUAAGAUGGGGCGUAUCUUAGCUCCUCCGCAUGCUACUUACGAUGCCCUCUCUCGGCUGGGCCAGGAGCAGACACUAUACCUCACAAGCGAGUCAAGAGAAAAGUCGAGGAAGAUGUGGAGUAGGAAUGCAAGUCGAGUCAUCAAGUCAAUUACACUCGCUCCCGUAUCUCUCGCAGAUCUCACGGAUAGAAUCAAACAAGAUCAAUCGUGUAUUUCUCAGUGGUCUUAGAGGCGAGGUUUUGUACGUGCAGGGAAUGGAAGUGCUUACUGACCUAGUAGGCAAGAGGGUUGGUUCAGCAAUGCGGAUCAAGUGUAGCGCAUUCCGAAAGUCAAGAAGCAAAUCAAGGUUAGAAAAUCGAGCAGGGCGGGAAAGGUGAGCAAGUGCAAGUUCGAUAUGCAAGAUACGAGAUGCGCAAGUCAAGUCAGCGAGCGAGAUACAAUAAGGACCAACCUCGCCAUCCGGGUUGAGAGAGAGAAAUUGAACAAGUAUGGUCCUCCCCUAUGGGGAUGUACUAUGAAACAAAAAUGGGGAUUAUCCGCAAAGAACUACGGUAGAGCGGUUUAUGAAUGUCUACGCGGUGGACUUGAUUUUACCAAGGAUGAUGAAAACGUGAACUCACAACCAUUUAUGCGUUGGAGAGACCUUUUCUUAUUUUCUGCCAACGCAAUUUAUAAAGCGCAGGCCGAAACGGGUAAAAUCAAAGGACAUUACUUGAAUGCUACUGCGGGUACAUGUGAAGAAAUGAUAAAAAGGGCCGUAUUUGCCAGAGAAUUGGGAGUUCCUAUCGUAAUGCAUGACUACAACACUGGGGGAUUCACUGCAAAUACUAGCUUGGCUCAUUAUUGCCGCGAUAACGGCCUACUUCUUCACAUCCAUCGCGCAAUGCAUGCAGUUAUUUAUAGACAGAAAGAUCAUGGUAUGCAUUUUCGUGUACUAGCUAAAGCAUUACGUAUGUCUGGUGGAGAUCAUAUUCACGCAGGUACAGUAGUGGGUAAACUGGAAGGGGAACGUGAGAUGACUUUGGGUUUUGUUGAUUUAUUACGUGAUGAUUUUAUUGAAAAAGACCGAAGUCGCGGUAUCUUUUUUACUCAAGAUUGGGUCUCUAUGCCAGGUGUUUUGCCCGUGGCUUCAGGGGGUAUUCAUGUUUGGCAUAUGCCUGCCCUGACCGAAAGAUUUUGGGAUGAUUCCGUACUACAGUUUGGCGGAGGAACUUUAGGACACCCUUGGGGAAAUGCACCCGGUGCAGUAGCUAAUCGGGUGGCUUUAGAAGCGUGUAUACAAGCUCGUAAUGAGGGACGUGAUCUUGCUCGUGAAGGUAAUGAAAUUAUCCGUGAAGCUAGCAAAUGGAGCCCUGAACUAGCCGCUUCAUCCCCGAAACCCGGUUCCCAGCUGAUAGAUGGUGAAUGAAGCCUCCUUGGCCCCUAAUCCCCCUUCGUAAAAUAUAUAACCAUAAACAGGGCCUGAAUUACUUGUUUGUGUUCGAUCAGUUCUAUUUGAAGACUUUGUUUCUAGACCUGCUUCGAUUCAAAUCAAUUCUUCGAGCCUGCCACGGGCUUUCCAAUUUUCUUAGUCUGAUGGAACGAACCUUGACUGAAACUGAAUUAUCAACCCUAUCUUUUUGGCUUAUUUAUAGUCUGACCCGCUUUGAAUGAGACCUUCGAAUAGGAUUGAUUGGGGUAUAUGAGCUGGGAAAGAAAGUAGACCAGAAAGAUAGAGAUUAAGUCCCGGUAGUCGGAAAGAAGCCUUACGUAAUAGGGGUUAAACAGACUUAAGUACAUUCCGCUAGUUAAGUACAGGCCAGCUUCCUUUUAAGUGAAAGUGCAGGGUAAAGUCAAGACUAGACUAAUGUAGUGACGAGAGCAGGCUCUGAUGUCAGAAAGGGAAAAUGAAUCUGGCAAGCCCGUUCAGGGCAGCCACUAAAUCUUCUGUUUUCCUACCUGGUACUCACCCCCUGCAAUUGCCUUCCAAAGACUGCUUCUCCGUUUCCUACCUUACCGGCUGGAUUGAAUCUCCCGUUUUAAAAGGGAUAUGUUAAAGUAGGGUCUCUAUCUGGUAAUAGAAAUGGAAGGUUUCCUGGUCAAGUAGAUACCAAAGACAAAUACGUUAUUUCUUAGAAAGAGGGGCUCUAGCAAGACUUAUUGAGUGAUAGGUGUGCCCGUCUUCUUCCUACUACUUACUUGGUACUGCGCAGAUUGCUUCUUCAUGCCUUUGUUUGGUUCCCCCUUCAAUUCAUUGAAUGGAAAGGAAUUCGAGUUAUAAGUUGCAAUUGGACAAGAAAAGCUAUAAGCGUAUAAUAGUCUGGUGAAAUCAUUUUCUCUUUCUUUGGCUUGAUCGAAGGUUCCUAUUAUUUCAAUAAGAAAGAUUAGGCUUGGCGAGAAAGAGGCAUUCGCUACUUCCGAAUCGGAGUCUGAAUUUUCCUUCUUCGGCACUCCCAGAUCGGUUACGUCGAUCGGCCAUAGAACCAGUUUUUGAUGAGUGAUAGGUCGCCCCAAGUUCUAUUCCUUUCUCAAUUCAGGAAGUUCGAAGUUGAAAUGGUUGGACGGACAAUCAGCUUCACAUAGGAUCGUGCCAUAAUUUAUGCGCUUUCGAUUGCUUCUGCUUGUGGUGCCCAUCAUUUAUUCAAAUAAAAGGGUACCCUCUAUAAAACAGAAGACCUCGACUACUAAACCAGAGAAGGACGAAUAGUGGAAUAGGAAGAGGUUACUUCGGGUAUUCCAUAAGCUGGAUCUAAGCCUUUUGUUCAGUCAGCGCUCAUGGGCAAGUACACAUCGGCGGGAUCUCGAUUCCUACUAAGCCUAGUCCGCGAACUAAACGAUAUAAGAUCCAACUGAACGUCGACUAGCGGGGAAGCCCUUCCUAUUUUUUGAGUUUGAAUGCGAUUAGGGAGAUCAAACAGAGUCCUACUCUUAGGGAAAGCUAGGUGUUUACCAACUACAAUCUAGAAGCAGUCACUAAAGAAGGUAGGAUACGGCAUAGGUAGCUUCCGGAUGAGAACUAAAAGCAAGACAGACGUAGCAUUUCGCGGAAGAAACAUCGGCGACACCGUUCACUUAGAUUAGAGGCCUAGUUGACGACCCGCUUGUUGAUGGAGAGGAACUAGCUUCUAGUGAAUUCACAGAUGUACUAGCAGGCUUGGCAUCGUAAGCAGAGAAAAUCAACCUAAUCUGGGCGGAAGGCUGCUUGCGUGCUUGCUUAAUACACUACUUCUGCUUCAUUCUGGUACUGGUAUCUCAUAGUUCUGUCCUCGUCUCAGCAGUUGUUGGGCUCGGGAGGAUCCGCCCUUUUGAUGUUGGCAUACUCGGUCGUAUGAGCCAGCCCUAAAUCAUGUGGUAAGCGCAUUAGCUUUUCGAUCUAGACGCUCCAAGAAUUCCAAGCUCCGGGAAUCAAGAAGCUAAUGAUAAAUAAGAAGAUUUCUCUUCUUUUUAGUAUAGAUCCGAAACUGCUUCUACAGUUGUGUCCUAUCUUGUCGAUCCUAACAUCAAACGACAGGGGAAGUAGAAGGACGAAUAACCAACUGUAGGGCUUGGUCAAAUCGAUCGACCAGGGAAGGAUACGGGAAAAGGUAAAACUCCAUAUCAUUUUUCCCCUCAGUUGUUGGAGGCGUUAAGUGGUCAGAUCUUUCCUCCCGUACAAGUGCUACCCCUCGAUUCAUUCGCCUGUGGGAAGCAUAUAAAGUUUAGUAAUAAAAAAAGCCGAACUACUCUACUUACGAUCAAAAGCCUUGCCUAUUCGUGUGGAAUUCUCUUUUGUUGGCAGAUCACAUAGUGGGUCCCCGCCCACAGAACCCUACAGGCUUGGUUCCCGGUUCCGAGGCGAGGGGAAAGUCACCAUUGAGUUGGACCUGGCUUUGGUCAGCCGUCCGUCGAUUGUUAGAGGUGCUGUCCUGAGUCCAAUUCUUUUGCUUCAUUAAUUUCCUGGAAAGCAUCAAAUUUGCUUUUCUACACUGCCGAUACGAUGGAAAAGAAGUUUACCGAUCGAAUCCUCAUACAAUAGUCGUUUAACUUACUUACCUUAAUCAAGCGGCAUUGCAUCCGAGCAUUCAUUAGAUUACAAAUAUUUUAUGCCACCUGGACCGCCUUCCUCAGUUGUUGGUACACUAACCGUUCUCCCAGCAGUUAGCUUGCCAUACUUACCGUUGCCACCCGUUGGCCUGCGAUUAUACUUUCCGGGAUAACAGGCGGUUAGUUGUUAGUUACCUAUAUGCGUUGGAAGUCUUCGUCUGCUUUAUCGAGCUCUGAAACCUGCCUUCGUGUAUUCCUUCGCCGCCCCUCUUAGAAAGAUUCUUUCGGCUUUCUCUCUUUGGCCUGGUAUUGCUUGUUGGCCUGUGAAGGGAGUCCUAUUGGGCUAGAUAUAUCUCAUCUUUAUCUAGUGCGCAAGCGACGUUCUUCCGUUGUCCCGUGUACUCUACCUUAAUUUAAGUGGUACCACAUGAAGGAAUUCUUCUUUAAGGACAUCAGCCCUUUCCUUACCUUGUCUUUUCUCAGCCCAAACUUAAGACCGCUUUUCUUGACUCUCACAAAAGAAAGAAAUGAAAAAAAGGAUUUCCAGUUCCGAAUAGAACGAAAAGAAAGUCAAAGGGAAUGAAAAGAAAGAUCAAAGAGAUGGUAUCCUGUGCAAUAUAAGGAAGUUAAGGAUUAAAUACCCCCACCCAGAAAGACGUGUUUUCCAUUUUUUAAAUAAGGCAUGUCAGCCUCUUUGUCCCUCCCGGUUCGGCAGCAGAAGCAUUAUCAGCUCCCGAAGAAGAUGAAGCUACCGAGAUGGGAAUUAGGAGCUGCUCUUCCGGCCGAGAAAGCGAUUGAGAAAGCCAACAAUUCUAUCUGGAUCUUUAUUCCGAAUAUCUUAGAUCGAAGAUCACAAGCCGGAUCACCAGAAUUCACAACUCACUCCCGACCGAUAAGAGGUGCCUCCGUCCAACCUCGAUAGUAUUGAAUGCUCCUUCCAUCAAAGCAUGAUAGUUGCAUUUUAUGGUCAGAACUCAAUCCCGGGAUGGUGAAUUAGACUCAGCCUAUGCUGGCCUUAUACUCGAUCCACCGCUGGGAAAUUCUCUUCAAUAACCGGGCCACGGCCGUGGCGUUGGGCAGAAAGCCGAUGAUUUCGACGAGGCCCUUCCCUUUAACCCGAACAGCCAGAUUAAUUACGGGUCAUCCCCUACCUCCGAAUCCUUUGACGGACACCAGAGAAGUUAGUUGUUCGCCUAUCAUUGGUCGACGUCGAACGUUGUUCCCUCUAGUCCUAGAAUCACUACCUCUUUAAACCUCUGAUGAGAAAGUCGUAGGCGAAAGCGGGCCUUUCACCCAUACGAAUGAAAAAUGAGAGAGCCUACUUAUCCAUUUCGAGAUAGUUGCUACCUAUAUGUUCUGAUUCAUUUACUACAAGAAACCCACUAUUCCAAGCGCAGGUCCCGUACUUUUUUGAUUAAUCGCCUGCUCACUUCGAAUAUCGGGGAAUCUCUAUGACGCUUGUUAAACGGCUGAAGAGCUGCUACGGUGGGGGAAUCGGACUUAUCCAUGGUUAGUCAACAUAAUUGCAUAGGCCCAGAAGCCCAGGUAGCUCGGCAUGGGAGGAAAGGAAGAUCUCUGAACUAAUGGUCGGCCGCUUACUCUAUAAUGCUAAGUUAAGCCCCUUCCCCGAUACUCCAACAUCGUCCUAUCCACCGCUGUGGAUGUUCACCCGGCUAUCCAAGAAGUCCAAGGUGCAUAAGCCUGCUCCUCGAUAAAGCCUUACUCAUCCUCUUGUUCGAUAAUCCCUUGCCGGUUCUCUUCCUUCCCCACCUGCCUCAACUGCACGCGCUUGGCUCAUCGCAUCUCUCAACCGGGUGGAAAGCCUAGGAGCCGGGAAUCAGACUGAAUCCGAGACAAGAGAUACAUUGAUGGCCUCGGAUAGAUUAGCUCGGAUUGAGCUGUCCCUAUCCCUAUCAGUCGAGUGCUAAUGCCCUCAGCCGGUACGGAGCCAACCCAGCUCCCGUCCCCGCGAGUGAGUUUUGCUGGUCAUAAAGAGAGGGAAAGAAGGGAAUAAGUUAACAUUUCAUGACUUUAUGAUUGUUUCGGAGGCGAGAAAGGGAACAGAUAAACGAACUGAAAGGGAUUGGGGUAGAUAGGUGGCAUCGGCCUAUCCAACUACUUCUCGACCGGCCCAGCUGCUAGUCGCCGUGGCGAGGCUCGGCCAGUUGCUUCAAUGAUUUUUGACAACCCUUACAACCACCGGGGAUCUACUUAUCGAACGGGUAUUACGGCUAAAAAAGACUAGGAUUACCUUAACCAUUGGCGGGGGAUCAUUUAAUCGGUUACGAUGCGAAUGCAACUAAUGUGACGUGCCUUAAAAAGCACUUUCCGUGAAGGUUUCCGGCCCCUUGGUAGUUUGCUUAGGCCCCCACCUCGCCCAAGUGGUUCGUGCAUACCUUGCUUCAGGGGGUUGGAUCUUCUAUCCAAGCUAGAGAGACGAGUUUGAUACUAAAGAGACGGCUGGUGGACUCAUUCGCUGGCCCACUUCGAUAUCUAUCUGUCUUUCGAUUCAUGUAUAUGCCUUUUUUUUUUACAGAUAUUUCGCUAUUAGGCAUUCCGCACGAGUCCGUUACCAAUCCCAACCCCGGCUAACCUUUUUUUCUUAACCACCUCAUUCAUCAACCUCUUACCCUUAAACAACGGGAGUUAUGUCCUAAUCCCCACGGUUAUGCCCGAUAGCACAUGGGGAGAAUGAUUGGACCUAAACCUUUAUACAGGCUUGCCUCUUUUCCGGGCUAGCUCGCAAAACCUAGACUCCCGUGGCUCGCUUGGAAAACGUUCGUACGUUGCUAACCUCUUAUUCUCCUCCUAUCUCCGAGCUCUUCUUGAAUCGAGGAGUUAAAGUAAAGCUCAGCUAGGACAGUUCCUCUCUCCGAUGGAUGGGCGGGGAAUAGCAUCUGAUACGAUUUCUUAUCAGCCUCUCCUAAUUGGAGAGAGAGAACCAAUCUGACGGGGAGGAGUUCUUUCUCCGUCCCAUCACUAGCAGUUGCGGUUCAGCCACCGAUACCGGUGCGGGAGACAGGGAAAAAGAGAAGGGUCGGUCUAUUCAGUCUUAUUAGUCCCCUUCAGUCCCUGGACUGGGCUCUGAGUCCUGAUACCGAAUGGGAGGCCCAUGCUAGCUCCACGCGGGAAGAAGUCUUACUAGAGCCGGGUAGCCAAGCUAAUCCGAUGAGGGAGGCAUGCUUUCUUUAUGGAUGGAUGCACCGGAGAUGGCAAUAACGUAUUCCUAAAGAUGACCGGAGGAGUGAAGUCUCGCAAACGAUAGUAUAGAGUCACUCUAAAUUUGACCAGGAAUACUAGACAUGCUACUCUCAACAAAGGAAUGCAACUAGAGGGAUCCGACCAUCAAUCUUCGUGCCGCCGGACCCAUGGAUAACAUGAUCAUUCUCUUUCCCUUCCCUGGUCCGAAUGAAGAGAUCUAGACUGGCCCAGACAAUCCACCCACCGGGGGAAUGAAAACAAAUGUCUUAGAUUGUAAGAGCACCCAGAGAGAUAGAAUGUCGAACCAGAGGAUCCUUCAGUUACGGUCGAUCCUGAAGUCUCUGCCCACAUUAGAAAGCUUUCGUUCCCGACCCGAUACGAGAAGAGGGAAUCAGUGCAUAGCUUUCACCGGCCAAGACAUGAUCAACUUCUUGCUGUCCAAUCAAAAAAUUCAAUGGUAUUGGAUGAGUCAGGUAAAGGUAUCGAACCAUCUAUUUAACCCCAAGACUUCUUUCCUCCAAGGAAAAAUGGAACCGAUCGAGCUAUAAUUAUUCCUAUUUUGUUUUUGAGAGACGAUCUGGAUUCAUGGAUUAUCCAUGACUAGAUAAGAAGAAAAAGAAUUUCAUAGGUGUCAGAGUUUAAGAAUAGGUUUCUGAUGAAUUAUCUUCAGCCGUCGAUAUAUACCAGCAAUAAAAAAAAGGAAGGUUGCGGGGAGCAAACAAACCUUUUCUGAAAAACUCCGAGAACGCCGCGGGUUUGAAUCAAGCGAAAGCAGAUUCGAGGAAAAAUACUGGAGCGCAACAGAUUCGAUGCUCGAACAAAGGUUCGGGGCCCAACGGUAACUGCUCGCGCAGCUGUGACUGCAGCCCCCUAAGCCGCGGCUUAACUGCAAGCUACGGGCUGCCUUUGCGGCUAGACUGCGGCUGCAGCAAGGUGCUGCAGCUGCGGCUUGACUGUGAGAGGCUGCGGCUCCUCUUGCGGCUGGCUGCAACUGUCCCUGAACAUGAUCAUCUGAAUCCGCAUCAGUCCCAACUGCAGCUACUUACUCUACCCGUGUCCGUUGAUUACGUGGUUAUCGGUCGGUCGGGCUAUACAUCGCUGAAAGAUGAGGGGGAAGCGCCGGCGAGGGGGGAAGGGAAGGUUUUUGUAAGCGAGACAGAGCAGCUUGCGGGAGAUGAUGGAAGAGAAGGGUGCGCUAGCACCGGCGGGGAGGCGGGUUGGUGCACCAGCCGGAUCAAGUUGUUAGCGGACAAGUGCCGUGCUAAAGAAGUGGCCGUUAGUGCCGUGAAAGGGAGCUCCGAAAAAGCAGCCAAUUUCCUGCCUGAUCGUGGGCCUGGUCCCGGAGAGGAGGGGUGUAUAGUGCGACUUGUCGGACAUGUCAUACGGGAUUUCCAUCCCCCCCCCGAUCGAGUCCCUGCUUUACCUAAGAUCAAUUUCACUAUAAAGAAUUUCAAACGUUUUGUUUUAGUUUGGAGGUUCAAUGUAAGUCAUUUCAGCCUGGACCAAUCAAAUUCACCAGGCACGUCCGAUUCCUAUUCAUCCAAUUUCUAUUCUAUGUUAGGAUCGAAUAUUUGUUUGACAGAAGGCAUAGAGCCGGGAUGGAAGAAGUGGAACAAAAGGAGAAGAAAUGGCAGUAAGAUCAUUCAUUUUUUCUUCUGUGUCCGGGCACAGGGGAAGGGGAGGCGAGCGGGCUAUGAAAUACAACAUGGUCCGGCCAGUACAGCGCAGGCGCUGCAGAUCAUCACAUCAAUUCGUGACUAGGCAGAUGGGACUACGCCUUAGCCUUACCUUAGCGCUAAGAAGGGGAUCUCGAGCCGCCUAUUCGAGAGAGAGGUUGAGAGACGUGAUGUGCAUGAGACCGAGCCACGCUCGCCAAGUCUCUAAUCAGGGAUAGAGAAGAUAAGUCAUUUCGGGACCCACGAACACUCACUGCCAACGCGAGGUCGGGAAUCAGCCGCCUUUUUAAGAUAGAUAGCCGCCACGGGAAAGAGCUCGUCUUUAUCAAACUGACGCUUAUUAAUAUUAUAUGAAACUCAUUCUUCCGCUUAUCCGGCUGGGUUUUCCCUUUCCUUUCUUUCUUGUGCUCGCUCUCUCCUGUCAUGCAUCAUGGCUGGGUGGAACACGAAGACAUACAUCCAUUUAUUUUUGCUAAGAUUUAGAUAUCACUAGUUGAGUUAGUUGGUAUUCUUUUCUUGCUUUUCCCUGCCUGGAUUCCGAAGAUGAGUCGACGUUUCGGAACGUCGGUUUUCUUUAUAACGACCAUGAAGGUUUUGAACAUCUAACUGAAAAAGUUCCCAUCCGCUGCUAUGGACAGAAUGCAUCUGACAUUGGUCAUUUUAGCAAUCGGAGAAAACGUUUCAUCAUAGUCUACCCAUUGUCCCUUGGCUACCAGACGCGCUUUGAACCUCUCUAUCGUGCCAUCUGCCUUAUGCUUUACCUUGGAAAGCCAUUUGCAUCCAACAACUUGAGGCUAAUUUCCCCAACUCCCAGGUCUUGUUUUUCUUUAAUGAAACAAUUGAUUCCUGCAUUGCCUCCUGCCAACACUUUUGUUUUGAGUUGAUGCUUCUGCGGUUUUUUGAUAGAAAAAAUAGAAGUGACACGAUUCUUUCUGGAAAAAGCUCAAUAAGAUGCAUGCCAAAAUUAUCAAGGAGGUCAAGCGAGCAGACCUAGAUCCAAGCGAAAGCAGAGAAAGUAAGGGUCGGGGAGGGCUGUGAAGGACAUACAGGAGAAGGAAUCUCCCCCCCAAAAAUGAAAACAGUUCCUGAUGAAUUUGGCGGUAGACGACAGGACUCCUGCUGGGCCACGAAAGUCCUUCUUCUCGUCCCCACUGAAGGAAAGGCUUCUUUCGCUUCUUCCUAUCCAGGGUCAGAGUCUUCCGCAAGCAAAAGAGGAUUUCCUAAAAGAAAAGAAAUCGUGUGCGCGCGAGGGCAUAUCACGAAAUAAGUGAAAAAGUGAGUAUCCACGGGUACUACAGCUCGACACGAAAGCCCUACGCUUUGUCCUCCCGGCAAAAGGCACGAAAGAUCAGUCUUAGGCGCCCAACUGCUCUCUUCGUUAUAGGAAAUAUGAUAAAGGAGAGCCGGUAGAACUCGGAAAUACUGAAAGGCGAAGGGGGAAAGCGGAGAAGGAGAAGACGGGAGUAUCGACAUAAGGAGCAGGCGGAGAGGCGUCAACCUUAACAACCAUCACCAACGGAAGCCAGUAUAUCUGUUUGCGGGCUAAGCCUAUUAAGACAGCCCGAUGAGCUAAGAAGUCAAGAACGUUGUUUAUUAUCCCCUUUCCUUAUAUCUUCUUUCUACCAAGCGAGAUUGAGAGAUGAAGCGGGCAAGCAACAUCGUGUAUUUAAAUAAGGAGUGCGAGUAGGUUAGAUCAUAAGGAGAAGAACUCAUAAGAGAGUAAGAAGAAACAGAUAGAGCAAAGGAAGGCCUAGCUUAGCAGGUCAGGUCUUGGCUCAGCAGACUCAACAGAUCAUAGCUCGGAAACAAGACUUGGAAAAGGCACUGAGCAAACACCGGUAUCUGCCUUAGAUGGCUUUGAUUGAUUUCCACCCUUGAAUCUUAGAUUAAAUGACUUUCCCCCCUUGAUUGAGUUCUUCCGACUUCCUUGUUGAACUUGAAGACUGCUCAACUCCUAGCUUAACCCAGAACAAGACUAUAUAAGACAAGCAUCAAUGCCCGGCCCCAGUUAAGCAAAACACCCUGCCUUUGGCUCAGGACGGGUCCUGAUUUCAAGUAUGUUGCUGGUUCAGAAUCAAAAAAUAUUGAUGAAAGCAUUGAUGCUGGCUUAAAGUCCUAAACAAGGCUAGACACGAACACGAACAUCAGUACCUGGGUCAGGCUCAACAGAUCUUGUUGGGUCAGGAGAUCCUGGUGAUUCGGAAGGAGAAGAAGAAGGCUCGAAAGCAGGCGUGGAACACAUCAACAAUUCCAACCUAGAAAAGAGAUGGAUCUCCUGUAGGCUAUACAAGAGAAGCAUAUCUUGUCUCAGAACUAGGCAACUAAUAAGGAAUAAAGAAAAAAAUAGAAGAGAAGUAAGUUCCUCUUUCUCGUUCGAGGGCAGGAGGACUUGUUUUUCACUAUUCUAAGACAGGACUUUCUUACCGCUCUUACCGCUGCUCGAAUUCUUCUUUUCUAACCAACCGAUGUCGAUGUUUGGGAUCCGAACCAAGGCAUUCCGUCUGAUAUACGUACUGGUAUCACCCUGUGAAGCAAAGUCAGACAAGGGAGAAAGACAUGGAAUUGAUAGGGAACCGUAGCCAAGUGGCUAAGGCAGAAGUCUGCAAAACUUCUAUUCGUCGGUUCGAAUCCGACCGGUUCCUACAGCGCCAUUCCAUCCAUCCUUUUGUUAUAUUGUAAGUGGAUAGAACGUUUUACCAGGCGAAAACGCCCAGAAUUUAUGGAGUUAGAGUUGCAUAUAUAUGGACAGAAACAAGCCUUCAAUAUUCCAGUUUCAUUCAUUUAUACCAACGAUAUCCACGCUAAAGAUGAGGGCCUUCUUUCUUUUUCAGUUCAUAUCAGCCUGAAUGAGGAAGUGGAGUCAGUUUCGUUAAUAAACUGGGCCGAAGAUCUGACAGAGGUUGACUUGCUGGCUUGCGAGUUGCCAGCUCCGUAGUUGAUUGCUAACCAGAGGAUAGUGACAGCCAAUAUUCCUAUUCCUGCUUGUGUGCUUGUUUGCUAUUCUUCCAGUUCCUGUUACGAGACGACCUCGGCUCAAGCUGACCCCACACCGAAAGUCGUCAAGCAGUCUUGGGCUCCAUCAAUCAGUGAGGGGGAAGCCAAAACCUGUUGGAGUUCCCCGCCAUCACCUCGCUUAGAUCCGGGGGUUCAUACCCUCCAGUAGCAGAGAUGCAAGUUGCAAAGGCAACUUGCCUACCGAGGUGGGAGAUCCAUCAUAUCAAAUUCACAAAGCAGCACAGGUAGCAGUGGUUGACAUUUUUUUUGAUCGUUUUCAUCGGUUUUAUCGAUCAAUAAGCCGAUGCGACCGUCGGGCAGGAACUACUGGAGAUGGGCAACAACUCUGCUUCUCAACAGCGGCAAUGGAAGAAAUGGGGAAAAGAUUUUCAAUUAAAAUGAGUGCUUCGAUCAACGACAGAACUCCCGGUUUUUCGGAGGUGACUACGUACCAACAAAACUGAGAAAGUGGAGGAGCGGCGCCUCAGCUUUCGAACGGUUUUUUGAUUUAUAGCGACAACCCCCUGAGAACAUCAAGUCAUUUAGCCGGUCCGGGUCACGCGCUAUUCCUAAGACAAACUAGCCCUCCCGGAAGCCGCAUCUACAAGGCGCUUAUAAACCCAUGUAGAAAGCCACGAUCUAAGCUAGAAUGACCGUGUGAGAGUAUGAGUCUUUGGAUUGCCUUCUUCUAUGCAGAAAAGGACCCAUGUAUGCCAUCGCAGAGAGAAGUACCAUCAGAAAGAGAGCUUUUCUGUAGUCACUAAGCUUGGAUAACCGACCAAGAAGUCAGGUCAUAAAGGUAAAAGUAGGUUCCCGGAACAUAGAGCCGCCCAAAGACAGCCUUCCGGCCACAUCAGCAGGUUAGAAGACAAUAUUCACUACAAAUCUAUUCCAGCUUCUUUCCUUCCUGUAGCUCUUCUUCUUUGUUUAAAGCUUAACUCACAUUUCGGGAGCGGAUGCUGCUCGAGCUAAAGAUAUGCCCCCCACUCUUGAACAGCUCUCACUUGCCUUGGCCGAUAGCUUAGAUGACCGGCCGUUAGGCAUGGAAACCAAUGAUUUAACAGUACGCCUCUUGUUUGGUGAGCCAACCCCAACAAUGGCUUCACCCGAGGAUGAAGGUAGUAGAACAGGAGCCGCAAAGAUUAGAUCACAGCCUUCCUAUGUGCGUCUUCGUUGUUCAAGCGAAACUCACUUUCCAGUAGCGAAUGAAUGUAGCUCGGGCAGAGGCGGUCGGUGGCCUAAGAAAGACCCUACCAACGGAUUAGGAUGAAAUCAAAAACGCCAGCAAGGACUCCGAUCAGGGCCAACUACGAAGGUAGGCGCGCAGGGGAGAAGGUUGAGAGCUACACCUUGAAGGGCUGAGUAGGAGCCCGAAAAAGCGAGUCUCAGGGCCCACAAGGAGCAGGGCAGGAAGACCCAGGGAAGGAAUAUCGGUAGCUGAACACAGGACAUCCCAGGAGGUAUGAAGGCAGGAAAUGAGAGGGAAGUGAUAUGGCAAGCCAACUCCUACAAGAGCAGCUAGUUGUUUCCCACCAUACAGACUGAAGGCAGGCCGGCAAGCCAGAUAACAAAGCAGAAAGCUUUGUAUUGAAGGGAAAAAAUGCAAAGAAAGACCCUUUGAUUGAGGUUGUUUAUAUGGAUGUAAGUACAUUGCAAGGAGACUCAAUACAAUAGAGAUCUACGCUGUAAGGACUGAACUUUGAUGAUCAACCUUAACGCGAGGAAUGUACUGUUCUAUCGGCAGUCCUGUAGUUAGGUGAACUACUCCCUCCCGAGGAAUGAGGCUAGGAGACCGAUGGCAGUCUGGCCAGUGGAACAACUGACGGGCCGAGGGAGGGACAGCCAGAUAUCAAAGAAGGGGAGUUUUGUAAUGAGUGAUCGAAUGCGAUGACAGAAUGAAGGGUUGAAGUUUCUUUGGAUGGAAGUACAAUGCGUGGAGGAAAGUGAAGGAGAAUGGGAGGUCUAUAUCCCCCGGAAAACUAAGAAAAUGCUAAGGAAAAUGAACACGAUCCCAGGGGUGGUAUGGCGGAGGUCCGCACCCUCCAAGACCACUACCGUAACAGCAUCUGGGAAGAGACAACGAAUCAUCAGAAGGAAGCCGACGGUGGUAUUGCCGGACCCCGGAAAAGGUCACUGAAAGACGGCAAUGGAAGAAUACCUCAAUGCUCUCGAGGAGUAUGUGAAAAAAGGGGCGAGUUCCAGUCACUUUAAACGAAUUCUUUCCUGAGAGAAUGAAGAAAAUCCUUGCAAGACGAGACAGAAGAAAGCAGCCCCGCGUCGAGUUUUGCUGUCGCAUAGAUAUUGCGGGCCCACAUUUGAAGACGUCUACGAAUUCCCUAUAGUGGAAGACGAGGAUAAGAACGUAUUCUGGGACGAGGCACAGGAAGUUCAGACAAUGGAAGGAGAACCUCACUGGCUCCUCAAUCCUUAUCUCAGGAAGUCCCAUCUGAACCUUCGCCGGCGUCAGAACGGGAGUCUGAAAAGUAGACAGCCUUACUCGCUAAGGGUGACGAAAUGAUCAGCAGAUACUUGGCCAGCAUUAGAGACCCUCAUCGAGGAGAGUCUUCAAGAUCAGGGGAAACCAGUUUCCAAGAAAACACAAGCGCAGCACUAGCACGCAUAGAAGCUCAGCUGGAAGAAAAGGGUCGCCAAAUUACUGAGCUCACCGUUUAGGUUGAAAGAAUUUCAGAAAUUCAGGAUGCCGCAACUUCAUCAUCCCCUGAGUCACAGGCAGUCCCACGACAGGACCUGAAAAUGAAGGCAGUUGUACGGGUCUGCCCUUCCAGCAAAGAAGCCACUUUAGAAAGAAAUCGUCCUAGGCGAAGAGAAAGAAGAAAGAAGAAGGAUGACGUUAAAUUAAAAGAAAGAACAAACUGUACACCUUCCCUCGGGACAAAACAAUGGAGAUUUUCUUGCUAGCAGUCUAGAAGGGUCUGCAGCUCCCUGAAUGCAAAAGACCCAACGAAGAAGGGAAAACCAAUCACCCCAAGUAUUGUUUCUACCAUCGCAUCAUUGGACAUCCCAUAGAGGACUGUUAUGUCUUCAAGGACUGGGUACAAGAGCAGUACGAACAAGGGAACUUCGUAUUACCCCCGAGCUUCAUCUGCGAACCCUCUGUACACAAGGCGCCCUCUUAAGCAUCAGAAUCUUGUGCUCACGUAAACUUGGGAGGUGAUUCCUCGUCCGAGGAAGAGCUGAAUUUUCCACAAGAAGAUGAAAUCCCUGAGGUAAAUCAGAUGAAACUUAGGAAGGGGAAAGUCUUGCCUGAACCAAAACCACUAUCUGCAAAAGAGAAGGGCAAGGAAAUACAGCUUAAUGAAGAAGCCAUGCCCCCAAAGCCUACUGCACCAGCACCGGAUCAGGGUGUGACACAGUACAACAUCCUGGCUCAUCUGAAGAAGAUCCCCUCAUUACUGAGCGUGUAUGAUGCGCUCGUCCUCUCCCCUCCCCUGACCUGCGGCGCGCUCUGAUCGAGGCACUCAUGGAACCGGAGAAGUCUCAGGCUCACUUUUCUGAAGUUCGCAUGAAGGAGGCACUGUAUGCGUAUCACACAGCCUCGAUCACCUUCUCAGACAAGGACCUUCUCCUAGGCACGACAGAGCACAAUCGGCCCCUCUACGCCACCGGGAUUUGUUUUUGAAGGAGGGUUAGCAGAAUCCUAAUCGAUCCUGGGUCUUCGGUCAACCUCAUGACCCUAAGAACGCUAAAGGGUUUAGCUCUGAGUAUCUCGGACUUGGCCCCGGAACGGAUCUACAUCCAGGGGUUUGAUCAGCAUAAUCAGCAAGCGUUGGGAUCCAUAUCAUUGACGUUGCGCCUAGGAAGUCUAUAGACGGAUGCUAAAUUUGAUGUGAUCGGCGCCGAUACAUCUUACCGAGCGUUGCUGGGAAGGCCUUGGCUACAUGACUACUAUGUGGUACCUUCCACACUUCACCAAUGCAUGAGUAAUAUCAAAUUUCGUGAAGAUAGGAGAAUAGAUGGCGACAUUCGCCCUUUCGAUGUGCACGAGGUCGGGUAUCCUGAUGCCAGGUACUACAUCGACCCAGCUGCAAUAGCUGAACAAGCUUCAGGGUCAGGAGGCACAACUCCGGCAAGGGGCCGAGGCCGUGGUAGGAGGAGAAACAACCAGAAAACCACCACCAAAGCCAGCGGAGGAGCGGGUCCAUCCCCCGGUCAAGGCUAAACCUCAGGAGUGACACAGAAUCCUCCGAUGAAGAAGAAGAAAGAUGUGAGCAAGCAAUUAAGGCAUCUCAUAGACCAAAGCGCUGGGGAAGCAGUUCCAGCGAGGAAGACAAUUAAGAAGGCAUCUCAGCUGACCCCGACGAGACGGGGGAAUUCACCAGAGAACCCAUCACCUCUGAGCAGCCUAUUGAAAUUACCAGGCUACCAGAGGGCCUCAUCAAGCCUUUGGCUAAACUGGAGGUUUCUAGAGUUGAGGAGCUAAAGACCUUCUAUGUUCCUCCUUCAGGAGACAGUGAACGGGGAAUACUAUUCUAUAGGUCGGAAGCACAACCCCUAUGGCGCGAUGAUGAUAUCCGACUAUAAGAUCUAGAUGAAGAGAUCUUCAGGGACGUCAGGAUCCCCAGGUACUACCCACCAAAGAUGAGGAAGUUGUUGGAGAAGUCCGGAUGCAGCUUCAGACAGUCUCGGGCUCAAUACAAAUUAAUUCUUCCAAAGGAUGUGGAAUCCACCUCAGAGGCGGGCUGUGUUGGCUAGUGGACAUGCAGCACACACCAGGAGCCUGGGGUAUAUUCAGUCUGAAACCCACACUUGCAACGUUGUCAUCUGGGGCGAUUCAUCCACAGACUCAGAAGCAGAAGAGCCGGAAUUGCCUAUCUAGCCUAGCCUCAGGAUGAUCACAUUGGGAGACUCCUCCAGCGAGUCUGAAAGUGAAGAAAUCCCUCCACAUUCCCCCUCCAACCUUGGAAGCUUCGAAGGCCGUCUGGAGAGGCCCAAGAGUCACAAGUCAAUGAAAACAAAACGGAGGCCGUGGUCCUUCCAGCUGACAUGCCCGACUUGCAAGAAGCUCCCGAAGAAGUUGAGGAUAGAGGGCAGGCUACAGUAGAUGAGUUGUUGGAAAUCCACUUGGGUACUGAGGAAAACCCCAGACCGACCUACAUAAGUGCACUACUCUCAGAGGAGAAACGGGAAAUGUAUAAAGUCCUACUUCUUGAGUUCAUUGACGUCUUCGCAUGGACCUACAAGGAGAUGCAGGGCCUAGACCCCGAAGUAGCCGUCCAUUACCUGGGUAUCGACCCCAGGACGCCCCCUGUUAAGCAACCUCCUCGGAGGAAGAGGAUUAAGCUGGAAGAAAGAAUUAUUGGCGAGACCACGAAGUUGAAAUUCAAUGCGGGAGACUGAAUCCGCGAAGAAAAAUACGCGGAAUGGAUCGCCAACAUUGUCCCAGUGAAGAAGAAAAAAUAGGCAGAUCAGGAUCUGCUUUUCUUUUGACUGGAACGAGCUUGGCCCCGGUAGCUUCUUGAGAGAUAUCACUCGCGGGCCACGAUAGCAAUUGUCCCAGCCUUUGCUCGACACUACCCUAACCUGCGGGUUCGACUCCUGCUUGCGUGUGGCCUUCAAUUCGUAUUGUAACAACAUUCGAUCGGCAUCCAAAGGUGCAUGUACGGUUCCUAAGGGAUACUAUUUUGUCCUAAUCAACCGACUUCAUCGAGAAAGAUGACUUUUUUUAGGCCAAGAAGUUGAUAGCGAGAUCUCGAAUCAACUUGUUGGUCUCAUGGUAUAUCUCAGUAUAGAAGAUUAUACUAUGCAAUUUGUGCCACCCGAUGUGCAUACAAUAUGCAUGGGAUUAGCCGCUUCAAUGGGAUCUUUCAUUCUGGUCGGAGGAGAAAUUACCAAACGUCUAGCAUUCCCUCACGCUUGGCGCCAAUGAGUUUGAUUAUUUGAAAAAAGGAAGACUAUGCCUUCCCAUAUUGAAUACGAAUAAUAAGUAAUAAUAGCAUGGCACUUCGAGUUCGAUAUGAGCAAACCAUUAUUGUUUUUUUCAUAACAUGAGAUUUUAUGUCGAGAUAGUAGUAUGAAACAGAGGUCAUUUCGGAUUUGAUCUUAUGUGUCGGGGGUACAUUUCAGCGUCACAAACCAUUCUUUUCCACACCAGAAUUCUCUUUCUGAUAUUUAUGUUAUGAAAGAAAAAGUACAAAAAUGAAAAAAAAAAAGAGAAUUUUUUUCCUUAUUUGAUCGUAUCAGAAAGGAACUUUGGGAUUGCUAAAUCACAGACAAAAUAAAUAUAUAAAGCAACAGAACCAUCAUAGUAUUUUUUUUACUCCUACGAAAGGAAGGGUGGUAAAUGGAUCAUUCAACGAUCUGGAUCGGAUGGAUUCUAUUUCUUUCUUCAAUAGAAUAGAAGAGAAGAAAAAGAAAAAGUCAAUUCCAUUGUAGAGCCGUAUGCACAAAAGAUGCCUGUACGGUUGUACAAUUCGAUUUUUUUUUUCUUCUAUUUUUUUUAUCCCUUACUUUAGCCCAAUCAUGCAAGAUAGAAGAACCGUUCAUGAUGUUAUAUCAAUAUCAUCAGGGUUAUGAUUCACCAACCUGCUAGUUCUUUUUAUGAAGCACAAGCAGGCGAAUUUAUCCUGGAAGCGGAAGAACUACUGAAACUUCGCGAAACCCUCACUAAGGUUUAUGUACAAAGAACGGGUAAUCCUUUAUGGGUUGUAUCCGAAGACAUGGAAAGAGAUGUUUUUAUGUCAGCAACAGAAGCCCAAGUUCAUGGCAUUGUUGAUCUUGUAGCGGUCGAAAAUGAAAAUACUAGGGAUUUCAUGUAAAUCCAUUUCGACACCAUAAUUCGAAUUUUCUGCGAUUUGAUAUUGAAUAGAAAAAAAAAUUCAUGAUCAUCAAUCAUCAGGUUAAGAUCGAUCUAAACCAACCCAUUCCAUUCAAAAUUUAUAUAUAUACAUACGACAUGCCAACUAUUAAACAACUUAUUAGAAACACAAGACAGCCAAUAAGAAAUGUCACGAAAUCCCCCGCUCUUAGAGGAUGUCCUCAGCGUCGAGGAACAUGCACUAGGGUGUAUGUGCGACUCGUUCAGAUCAUGAGUUCGAACAAAUGAGACAAUUUUCCAGUAUCAAUGACCAGUACCAAUGAAUAGGAUAGAUAGAGAAGAUCUAUCAUAUACCUAUAUUGUGUUUGGAAUUUAUGGUUUACAUUGGUGCAAAUCCAAUCACCUAGAUUUGAGAUGAAAAGCAAUUCCCCAUUGGGGGCAAAUGGUUAUCCAUUAAGCGGAGGAAAUGGUAUUAUAAGAAGCAAAAAGGUUAUACUCCUAUUCUUGAAAGAACGGACUAACAGGGUCAGCUACCUAGCCAACUUUCAUAAUGAAAUGCCGUCACUGUAUGGAUAACUCUUAUUGUGAAAAGAACUAUUACUGUAUAAUUGAUGGGUAGAGCCAAAGAGUGUGAACUAUACAAGUUAACAAUAACAUUUGAUAAAAUGAAAGAAGAGGCUCCGGUGUAUAGAGAGGACCUCACCGUUUAAAAAAAAAGUAACCAUAGAAACGAUGGAACCCACUAUUUUUUUUAUUUGGUAUCGUUAGAAUUUCUUAUUUCCAGGUGAAAUGCCUGGAAGGAAUAAAAAAUCGUGGUUGGGGAAAGUCAUAGUAGCAAAAGCCAUUGGAAUUUAUAUUUUAUAUAUCGGAAUAAUCCGUUUUGUUAUUAAUUGACGGGGGGUAAAGGAUGACUAAAAGAAGAGAAAUCAAUUAGUUAUUCAUUAAGGUUUAAUUUGAUUCAAUGACCAGAGUUAGACGAGGAUAUACAGCUCGGAAACGUCGAACAAAAAUUCGUUUAUUUGCAUCAACCUUUAUUGGGGCUCAUUCAAGACUUACUCGAACGACUACUCAACAGAAAAUGAGAGCUUUGGUUUCCUCUCAUCGAGAUAGAGGCAGGCAAAAGAGGGAUUUUCGUAGUUUGUGGAUCACUCGAAUAAAUGCAGUAAUUCGUGAGAAUAAGGUAUUCUAUAAUUAUAGUAGAUUAAUACCAAAUCUGUACAAGAAGCAAUUGCUUCUUAAUCGUAAAAUACUUGCGCAAAUAUCUAUAUCAAAUAAGAAUUGUCUUUACAUGAUUUCCAAUAAGAUUAUCAAAUAAAGGAUAUGAUAUUAUAAAAAAAAUACAGAAAUGAUUGAAAUUGAAACAGAAUUCCCCGGAGAAUGAACUCCGGGAAGAUAGAAUAAAAAAAAUGAAGUAAGAUAAGUAGUAGGAAUGAACGAACAUGUUUCAAUAAAAAAAAAUCUUUCUUCUUCCCCCUUUUUUGAUUUCUUAUAACACAAGAAAAAAAUCGGGAUUCUAGUUUGAACAAAACAUCAAUCUGAGCUUGAGUUCCGAUUGGAGUUUUGAGUCAAUUGAGGAGUAUGUUUAUUUAUUUCUGGUUCUAGGACCAGUAGUUCUGGGGAUCGACUCGGCUCUCUCAAAUUGUUUCUCAUUAUUAAGAAAAGGUAACAAAGAUAAAAUACGAGCUUGUUUUAUAGCAAUAGUAAUUAAUCGUUGUUGUUUCAAGGUCAAUUUAUUCACCCGUCUAGAUAAUAUUUUUCCUUGUUCACUAAUAAAUCGACUAAUUAAACUCAUUUUCUAUAAUCGAUUCGAUCCCCCGAUCCAAUUGGGGACAAACGCCUACGAAAGGAUCGCUUGUAUUUACGAAAAGGUUGCUUGGAUUUAUCCAUGGUUUAUUCCUUAUCUCUAAAAUUAGAUUUCUUUAUUCAUUUCAGAUCUGACCGAAAUAGGCUUUGAUUCGCAUCGUUUAUAUUAUACAUAUAAUAUAAAUAAAUAUAUAUAUAUAUAAGUUAAGUUAAGUUAAAUAUGUUAACUUAAAUAUGUUAAGUUCUUCCUCUUCCUGUUCCUUGGAAAGAUCGCGCACACGUUCCGUUCCAUCUAUUUCUUUAUUUCUCCAUGAAUCGUAUGCUUGUGACAAUAGUGACAAAAUUUUCUCAAUUCUAAUCGACUGGACGUAUUGUGUCGAUUCUUUUGAGUAAUAUAUCUAGAAAUACCCGGCGAUUCUUUAUUGACACCAUUUCGGACACAACUGGUACAUUCCAAAAUAACUCUGACUCUGACAUCUUUACCCUUGGCCAUGAACCCCCUUUUGAUUUGGAUCGACUUAACUUCUUCUAUUUUCGACCCGAACUGAAGAAGAAUAAAAGAACAAAAAAAUAAAUAAGAAAAUCAAUAGAAGUUACUAACUUGAAAUUCCAUUUUCAUUUCUAAAGCUAAAGAUUUCGUUGUGUUGUAUUAAUUGUAAUUAUAUAAUUACAAUUAAUAUUAAUAGAGUAAUAGUAAUAAUAAAUAAUUAAGUAAUAAUAAAGUAAUACAAUUUCUUUCUAACUAUCAAUUAUUCCUAUCUUAAAUCCCAAUAUUUCAUUUAAGUAUCUUCUUUCUAUGCUAUGAUUUCGUGGAUCCUGCCCUAGAUCUGGAUACACAUUUCCGUUUCUGUUUCCCAAAAUUCGAUCUUAGAUUCACCAGAUUUUUGUCGAGGUUCAAUACACUUUUUCUUUUUCUUUCCUUCCUAUCCUCCUAUCCUAAAGAACUUAAAAAAAAAGGAAGGGGCUAAAUUUGAGUCACGUCACGUAGAAUUGUAUCCCUAAUUUUCUUCAUUUCUUCGCAUAUUAAUAACUAGAAUGAAAAAAAGGGGAAUGACAAGGCAUCUGGGAAUAAACGAUUAAUUUCUAUCAAUAGACCUGCUAAAGACCCAAACCAUAGAGUAGUUAGCACAGGUGCCACGGAGAGAUAUGUUUUUAUAUCUCGCAUUGAAAAUCCUCCUUCUUUAUUUUAAUAAAUAUAUGUAUGGUCAGAUGUUGUAGUUCAAGAUCAUUUGUAUUUAUUUUUAUACGUUAGGUUUCAGAUGUAUCAAAUUCGAUUUUUAUAUAAAAAUCAAAAGAAGAAAUGACAAGAAAAUUGUAUAUAGAUAGAGGGGAAAAUAACAAUUGUGGAAAACAAGACAGGGAUUUUUGACAAUGACACUGUACAAGAACUUUAAAAAGGGAUGUAGCGCAGCUUGGUAGCGCGUUUGUUUUGGGUACAGAGGGCCAUAGGUUCGAAUCCUACUUGGGGAGAUUUUGAGUUUUCUGAAUUCGAAUUUUGAGGCCAAUAAGUUGAUAGCGCGAUCUCGUACUAACACAUACUCAAUAAAUAUUGAAGAACUUGCAUGCGGCGUUCAAGCCACAACCGCGGUAUGAGUUCUGAUCUCAGACUUUGCGGGCUGCUCGUCCCUUCGCGUCGACAAGGAAACCGUGGACGACAAUGGGUUUAGAAUAGAACGAACACCCUCGAGAACUUGGUCUAGCGGCAAGUGAUGAGAUGUUCGCCCUCCCUCCUUCUAUGGAUCGUCGGUAGCCAUAGUGAAAGCUAAGAAAAUCGGCAAUAGCAGCAGCUUUAGCUUUUCAGUAACCUUUAGUCAGCAGCUUUCCUUUCAUAUUCGGAAGGUAUAUCGCAUUUUUAGCUUUGGGGCCGUUUCUGUUUUUGGCUUUUGGCAAGGUGAUUGAUCGGGGCUGCUGCAGCAGACUAAAGGUAGCCGCAAUCUAUUGUAAGGCCCCGGAGAGAUAAGUCAUCUCAGAAAGCUUUUCACUCCUAAAGCGAACUACAAUAACUUUUGUUAAAGGGGAUGGAAACUACUAUCAAAGCUAAGCUAAGGAGCUCCUAUCGCAAAGCUAGUAGCCGAAGUAAGUACCAUUUCAAAAUACCGAAAACGUCAGGGGCAUUCCUUGAUCCAAGAUAUUCACCUGUGAUGAAAUCCGAGUUCCUCCAAUGCGCGGAGCAAAAAAUAGCGAUUGACCGAAUCAAAUGCUUUUUGGAUGUCUAUCUUGGUACUACACAUCUUCGGCUGCUUGGAAUCCUGGUUGAACUUUCUCAUGAGUUCGUGGGACAGGAGAAUAUUGUCAACAAUGCCACGCCCCUUAAUAAACGCGGUCUGAUUGAGGCUGACUAUCUUAGGGAGAAUCGAAGCAAGUCUAUUGGCGAGUAUCUUCGCACUAAUCUUUUUAAGGAAAUGGAAGACUGAUAUCGGGCGGAAGUGAUCGAAGGAGGCGCAGGCGUCUUUCUUCGGGAUCAAGGUGAUUAAGGUUUUUUUUAGAUUUCAGCAACCGACCAGAAUGGAAAAAAUCCUUAAUGGUUCUACAGAUGUCUUCUUUUAUUAGUGGCCACAUUUGUUGGUAGAAGGACGCCGGGAACCCGUCUGGUCCAGGGGCUUUGUUCGGGUUGGAUUUUCUAACUAAACAAUUUCCUCAUCAGAGAUAUCUCUGAUCAGCUCCCUAUUGUCCUCAUCACAUACUUUAUUCGGUAAGGUGAAGUACGGAGUGUUGCAGCCAGCAGAGAUCUAUGCACGGUUAAGGAGUCUUUGUUUGAAAGAAAGAGGCCGCUUCCUUCCCAAUAGCUUCAGGUUUCCUCCCAUCGUCCGUGUCGAUUUCAAUGAUUGAGUUCUUGGAUCUUAUUGUAACAAUGGAGGCGUAGAAGAACGUCGGAGUUUUGGUCCCCUAGAUGUAGCCAGUCUACUCUAGGACUUCUGCCUAAAUCAGUCUUCCUCGUCAUCAAGUCUUCGUAGUAGCCUUUCGCUAACCUCUUUUUCCCUGUCAGCAAGCACCCCAUUCAAAGGAUCAGAUUGAAUCUUUUUGUAGAUAGUUUCCAACUCAAAGCGUAUAGAGUUCACAUAUCUUUUGAUAUUACCGUCAGUCUCUCUGUUCCAAAGCUUGAGUGCUUCUUUCACGGCUUUCCGCUUUUUUCUAGCGACAACAAAGAUGUUCAUCCCUUGGACUUACGUAUUCCAAGCAUUCUGGACAGUAGCUUCGAAUGUCGGGUAUUUCAUCCACACAUGGAAGAAGCGAAAGGGUUUUGGCAGAAUAUUGGCAGAUUGCAUGGAGAGAAUGGCCGGAGAGUGGUCUGAAAGGCCCGCGGGAAGGAAUUUGACUGAUGCGUCAGGAAAUCGCUGCAUCCACUCGAGAUUACCCAAAAUACGAUCAAGCUUGCAGAGGAUCCUAUAAAAAGUGUUUCUUGCUCCAAGGUGAAGGCAUGUCAAAUGGCUUUAAUUUCUUUCAUAUCGCAUUCAACGAGACAAUUAUGAAAUUAAUAAAGUAAAGAGAAGGGAAUGCGAUGACCUCCUUUUCAUUUUAGGAUUUGAUGAUGUUGAAGUCUCCCAUGAAAACCCAUGGAGAGUUAGUGCUUGAUGAGACAUCGCCAAAGCUUUCUUCUCUCCAGCACAGAAUUGGAGCCAUAAAUUCGAGUUCAUACAAAUCAAAAUGAAGAGUUAACCGGGCAGACAGCUAGAUGAAUGAGCUGGUCUUUGGAUUGGAGUAGAAAGAUGGAGAAGAUUUGAGGGUCCCCACUUUCUUGCUCUUUUUUCCUUUUUUGUCGACAUGAGUUGGGCUAACGGGGAAAGGAGUUUUUGUCAGGUUGAGGUCAAAGGGUCUUCAUCCAAUGGAGAAGAGAAGAUUCCCGGCAAAAGUGCUAGUUCCAGUAUUGGAGUUUGGAAAGCAAGGAAGUGAGCUCUAAGCGAGGUAAGGAAAGCAAAAGAGAAGCGUGCAGCAAGUCGAUCAAUCCAACUGUGAAAAACCUUAUGGCAAGGUACUCUAAUUGUCGAGACAAGAAAAGUGGGGGGAAACAGAAUAUCAUCUAGUGGCUGAACCCUCCUUUCCUUCUCGCUAUGCUCAUGAUUUUUAUUAUUAGUUUUUUUCACUUUUACCUUCUCUUGAAGAGCCUUCUCUUCGGCAAACAAGCUAAGGCUUUUCGGGAACAAAAGGAACAGCUUUCUCAUCACUAUGUAUACUGUCUCCGGGAAUAGAAGCUAUGUCCACCUUAUCCCCCCAAUACUAAAUGGGGGCUCGUGGUUCUCGACCAGUGACAUCUGCUUCGCCUGCUCGUCAAGAUAUGUAAUCUAUUCGCUGUCAUUUUUGUAAGGAGUUGGGGCACGUUCAAUUGUCCUGCCAAACGGAAGAAAUCAUUCUCACCUCGCUCAUCCCCAACUCAAGGUACAGCUACGCCUGCAGUGACUUCUUCCCCGGAUGUUGUCUCCGUUGCCAUUGGGUUGUCCUCCGCACCAUCUCCAUCUGUCCAACUAUGGUGUCACUGGACCUCAUACAGCAACUUCUCCCUCACCUUGUCCAAGCUUUAUCUUCGACCUCUAUCUCUGGUAUGGGUCUCACUUAUGGUUAUUUGAUGGAGGUGCCUCGAAUCAUAUGACUGGUAAUGGCUGGCUCUCUGUUACAUGGCACUGCUCCUCUUUCAGGUAACCCCUCUAUCUUCACUGCUGAUGGAUCUUUAUUAGAUCUUGUGUUGGUUCUAUUCGUUCGUCUCAAAAAUCUGCCCUUAUCUAACGUCUUGAAUUUGAAAAUUUUGAUAUGUCUGUUGGCCAAGUGGUUAAUAAAAAAUAAGAAAGUAAUGUAACCUUCUCUAAAUCUGGUUGCGUUGUGCAGGACCUACGAACCGGGGCAACCGGGAAGCUGAUUGGGAGAGGCCGUAAAGCUGGCCGCCUGUUCCACUUGGAGUUUUGUCAUCAUCCACCUACUACUUCUCUCGCAGCUGCAGAUAUAGGGCCACCUUUUUCAGCAUCUCAGUUGUGGCAUCAGCGUGCGUCUGGUACAGAUUUCUGUCUCUCGUCUUCGUCAUCUUGCAAAGUUAGGGUGUUUAGGUGAUUUUCGUUUUCAGUCCUCUGACUCGUUUGAUGUGUCUUCAUGUAUGGGUUGCAAGUUGGCAAAACACUUGGCCCUCCCGUUUCAGUCUAGUGACACUGUAACUACUGCCCCCGUAAUGAUAAUUCAUUCUGAUAUUUGAGGUCAGGCUCCUAUUUUGGCAAACAAAAGGGUUUGUGUUGAUCCUCAAUCUCGUCGCCUUCAGGUCUCUAGACAUGUGUUCUUUCGUCGAAAGCAUUAUGUUUUGUUUUAUCCUUCAUCUUCCUCUGCCGUAGCUUCUGUAGGGUCCCGAGUCCACCUCUAUUCUACUUUCCUCUCCUGAGACUUUGUCUUUGCCAUCUGCUGAUGACUCUCACCCUCCUCGACGUGUCUCGUGUCCAUCGUCCCCCAAUUACGAUAGUCUACUCUCGCAGGGCUCCCGGUGACAUUCCUAUAUCGGUUUUUGAUAGGCAUUCACAGCAGCUUGCGGCCUCGCCAGAUCAGACAUCUCCGGUUGUCGAUCCUCCGACUAAGCCACAGGUUCGUAGGUCUUCUCGCAUUUUCACUCAGCCUAUUCGUUUCGUUGAAUCUCACUUGUUCACUCCUCGUCAUCGUGCCUUUUUUUUUAGCUGCUGUUCACUCUUUCCAUGAGCCUCAGUCAACUAGGGAGGCGGGCAGCCGCUAUUCCAUGUUGGCAACAGGCAAUGUCUGAAGAACUUACUGCCCUUCAGCAGAAUGGCAUUUGGGAUCUUGUUCCUCUUCCGUCUGGUAAGGUUGCUAUUGGUUGCCGUUGGGUUUAUUUAAGACGCGAUCUGAUGGGUCUGUUGAGAGAUACAAAGCUAGGCUGGUCGCCAGAGGUUACUCCUGGGAGUAUGGCAUAGACUAUGAGGAGACUUUUUCGCCUGUGGCUAAGAUGACUAGUGUAAGAACCAUUAUUGCCGUUGCAGCGGUUGGCCACUCUAUCAGUUAGACGUUCAAAAUAUGCCUUCCACCAUGGUGAUCUUCAUGAGGAGGUGUACAUGCAGCCUCCCCCUGGACAACAUUCCGCUCCUUCUCCUCUUGUCUU
rnacentral:lncRNA from 1 species